GGGUCAAGGUACUCUCGUCCAAGGCCAGGGCAUCAUCCAACCUCAACAACCAGCUCAAUUGGAGGCGAUCAGGUCAUUGGUGUUGCAAACUCUUCCAACCAUCUGCAAUGUGUAUGUCCCACCUGAGUGCUCCAACAUCAGGGCACCAUUUGCCAGCAUAGUCGCGGGGAUUGGUGGCCAAUGAAAAAAGCAAGAGCUAUACUAAUAGAUAGAUGGAUCCUCGUUGCUUAGCAGAUGCACCAAUCGAUGUAACGAUGACAAAUAAAGUGGCACGUACCAUCAUGUGUGACCCCGACCAGUGCUAGUUCAAGCUUGGGAAUAAAAGACAAACAAAGUUCUUGUUUGCCAGCAUUGAUUGUCAUUGUUCCAUUCACUGUGUAUUUAGUUGUUCAUCCCUAACCGCAGUUCUAGGCUUACACAUCAAUGGCUAUUUGCUCGUGCCGGCAGGUUCCUAUGUAAUCUACCGACUAAUGGUCGGCCUAUUGACCCAGUUUAUAGGCCGAUUGAUAUAUUAAUUGCUGCUCCCAAACUGACCGACCAGCUAUUAGUUACCAUUUUGCUGAACAUUGCACACAAUAAUAACUCAACAUAUUUUAAUGUCUAGAAGUAAAAGGGCCAUUUUAGCAGCAAAACAAGCGCCUGAUUAGGAACCAUCCAGCACUUUAAAUGUUCACCUAGAUAUUUCUACGUUGAUGCAAUUUUGAGAUUGGUGGCACCGAAACAUUCCUCAAAGCAAUUCUUUAUGGGACUCCAAAGAGGUGAAAAUAAAGUAAAGUUGCCACAUGGUAAAAUAUAAAUCAUGCGGCGAGCAAGAGCAAAUAUUGAGUCAUGAUAGCAAGCGCCAAACAUGCCAUUAAACUCUUCAUAUGGUUCCGUGCAGAGAAGGGGGAAAAUUGUUGGGGAACGUAGUCAUUUCAAAAAAAAUCCUACGCACACGCAAGAUCAUGGUGAUGCAUAGCAAUGAGAGGGGAGAGCAUCGUCCACCUACCCUCGUAGACCGUAAGCGGAAGCGUUAUGACAACGCGGUUGAUGUAGUCGUACAUCUAUAUGAUCGACCGAUCCUAGUACCGAACGUACGGCACCUCCGCAAUCUGCACACGUUCAGCUCGGUGACGUCCCAUGAACUCACGAUCGAGUAGAUCUUCAAGGGAGAGUUCCGUCAGCACGACGGCGUGAUGACGGUGUUGAUGAAGCUACCGACGCAGGGCUUCGCUUAUGCACUACUAUGAUAUGACCGAGGUGGAUUAUGGUGGAGGGGGCACCGCACACGGCUAAAGAUCAAUGAUCAACUUGUGUGUCUUGGGGUGCCCCCUGCCCCCGUAUAUAAAGGAGAAAGGGGGGAGGCGGCCGGCCAAGGAGGAGGGCGCGCCAAGGGGGGAGUCCUACUUAGGACUCCUCUUUCCUAUUAGGAGUAGGAGAAGGGGGAAAGGAAGGAGAGGAGGAGAAGGAAGGACGGGGCACCGCCCCUUCCCCUAGUCCAAUUCAGACUAGGCUUGGGGGGGGGGGCGGCCCAGCCCUAGCCAGCCCCUCUCUCUCCCUCUCUCUCCCUGAAGCCCAUUAACGCCCAUAAGAUCCCCGGGGGGUUCCGGUAACCUCUCGGUACUGUGGUAUUUAUCCGGUGUCCGAAUAUAACCUUCCAAUAUAUCAAUCUUUAUGUCUCGACCAUUUUAAGACUCCUCGUCAUGUCCGUGAUCAUAUCUGGGACUCCGAACUACCUUCGGUACAUCAAAACACAUAAACUCAUAAUACCGAUCGUCACCGAACGUUAAGCGUGCGGACCCUAUGGGUCCGAGAACUAUGUAGACAUGACCGAGACACGUCUCCGGGUUUAACCAAUAGCGGAACCUGGAUGCUCAUAUUGGCUCCUACAUAUGUUGGGGAACGUUGCAUAAAAUAAACUUUUUCCUAUGUUCACCAAGAUCAAUCUAUGAGUUCAUCUAGCAACGAGAGAGGGGAGUGCAUCUACAUACCCUUGUAGAUCACGAGCGGAAGCGUUCAAGAGAACGGGGUUGAGGGAGUCGUACUCGUCGUGAUCCAAAUCACCGGAGAUCCUAGCGCCGAACGAAUGGCACCUCCGCGUUCAACACACGUACGGUUAGCGUGACGUCUCCUCCUUCUUGAUCCAGCAAGGGGGAAGGAGAGGUUGAUGAAGAUCCAGCAGCACGACGACGCGGUGGAGGAUGCAGCAGAGUUCCGGCAGGGCUUCGCCAAGCGACUACGGGAGGAGGAGGUGUAGCAAGGGGGGAGGGAGGCGCCAAGACUUCAGGGUGCAGCUGCCCUCCCCUCCCCCUCCUUUAUAUAGGCCCCCUGGAGGGUGGCGCCGGCCCUGGAGAUGGGAUCUCCCAAGGGGGCGGCGGCUAGGGGGGUGGAGUGCCCCCCAAGGCAAGUGGAGGCGCCCCCCCCCCCCACCCUAGGGUUUCCAACCCUAGGCGCAGGGGGGCCCAAGGGGGUCGCACCAGCCCACCAGGGGCUGGUCCCCUCCCCACUUCAGCCCACGGGGCCCUCCGGGAUAGGUGGCCCCACCCGGUGGACCCCCGGGACCCUUCCGGUGGUCCCGGUACAAUACCGGUGACCCCCGAAACUCUCCCGAUCACCGAAACUGCACUUCCUAUAUAUAAUUCUUUAUCUUCGGACCAUUCCGGAACUCCUCGUGACGUCCGGGAUCUCAUCCGGGACUCCGAACAACUUUCGGUUUGCUGCAUACUCAUAUCUCUACAACCCUAGUGUCACCGAACCUUAAGUGUGUAGACCCUACGGGUUCGGGAGACACAUAGACAUGACCUAGAUGGCUCUCCGGUCAAUAACCAACAGCGGGAUCUGGAUACCCAUGUUGGCUCCCACAUGCUCCUCGAUGAUCUCAUCGGAUGAACCAUGAUGUUGAGGAUUCAAGCAACCCCGUAUUCAAUUCCCUUUGUCAAUCGGUAUUUUACUUGCCUGAGAUUCGAUCAUCGGUAUCCCAAUACCUCGUUCAAUCUCGUUACCGGCAAGUCACUUUACUCGUACCGUAAUGCAUGAUCCUGUGACCAGACACUUGGUCACUUUGAGCUCAUUAUGAUGAUGCACUACCGAGUGGGCCCAGAGAUACCUCUCCGUCAUACGGAGUGACAAAUCCCAGUCUCGAUCCGUGUCAACCCAACAGACACUUUCAGAGAUACCUGUAGUGCACCUUUAUAGUCACCCAGUUACGUUGUGACGUUUGGUACACCCAAAGCACUCCUACGGUAUCCGGGAGUUACACGAUCUCAUGGUCUAAGGAGAAGAUACUUGACAUUGGAAAAGCUCUAGCAAACGAACUACACGAUCUUGUGCUAUGCUUAUGAUUGGGUCUUGUCCAUCACAUCAUUCUCCUAAUGAUGUGAUCCCGUUAUCAAUGACAUCUAAUGUCCAUAGUCAGGAAACCAUGACUAUCUAUUGAUCAACGAGCUAGUCAACUAGAUGCUCACUAGGGACAUAUUAUGGUCUAUGUAUUCACACGUGUAUUACGAUUUCCGGAUAAUACAAUUAUAGCAUGAAUAAAGACAAUUAUCAUGAACAAGGAAAUAUAAUAAUGAUCCUUUUAUUAUUGCCUCUAGGGCAUAUUUCCAAAAGUCUCCCACUUGCACUAGAGUCAAUAAUCUACUUACAUUGUGAUGAAUCGAACACCCAUAGAGUUCUGGUGUUCAUCAUGUUUUGCUUGCGGAAGAGGUUUAGUCAACGGAUCUGCGACAUUCAGAUCCAUAUGUACUUUGCAAAUAUCUAUGUCUCCAUCUUGAACAGUUUCACGGAUGGAGUUGAAACGAUGCUUGACGUGCCUGGUCUUCUUGUGAAACCUGGGCUCCUUGGCAAGGGCAAUAGCUCCAGUGUUGUCACAGAAGAGAGUGAUUGGCCCCGACGCAUUGGGUAUGACUCCUAGGUCGGUGAUGAACUCCUUCAUCCAUAUUGAUUCAUGCGCUGCCUCCGAGGCUGCCAUGUACUCCGCUUCACAUGUAGAUCCCGCCACGACGCUCUGCUUGCAACUGCACCAGCUUACUGCUCCACGAUUCACCAUAUACACGUAUCCGGUUUGUGACUUAGAGUCAUCCACAUCUGUGUCGAAGCUAGCAUCGACGUAACCCUUUAUGACGAGCUCUUCGUCACCUCCAUAAACAAGAAACAUGUCCUUUAUCCUUUUCAGGUACUUCAGGAUAUUCUUGACCGCUAUCCAGUGUUCCUUGCCGGGAUUACUUUGGUACCUUCCUACCAAACUUACGGCAAGGUUUACAUCAGGUCUGGUGCACAGCAUGGCAUACAUAAUAGAUCCUAUGGCUGAGGCAUAGGGGAUGACACUCAUCUCUUCUUUAUCUUCUGCCGUGGUCGGGCAUUGAGCCGAGCUCAACUUCACACCUUGCAAUACAGGCAAGAACCCUUUCUUGGACUGAUCCAUUUUGAACUUCUUCAAUAUCUUAUCAAGGUAUGUGCUUUGUGAAAGACCUAUGAGGCGUCUCGAUCUACCCCUAUAGAUCUUGAUGCCUAAUAUGUAAGCAGCUUCUCCAAGGUCCUUCUUUGAAAAACACUUAUUCAAGUAGGCCUUAAUGCUGUCCAAAAGUUCUAUAUCAUUUCCCAUCAAAAGUAUGUCAUCUACAUAUAAUAUGAGAAAUGCUACAAAGCUCCCACUCACUUCCUUGUAAACGCAGGCUUCUCCAUAAGUCUGCAUAAACCCAAACGCUUUGAUCAUCUCAUCAAAGCGAAUGUUCCAACUCCGAGAUGCUUGCACCAGCCCAUAAAUGGAUCGCUGGAGCUUUCAUACCUUGUUAGCAUUCUUAGGAUCGACAAAACCCUCCGGCUGCAUCAUAUACAGUUCUUCCUUAAGAUGUCCGUUAAGGAAUGCCGUUUUGACGUCCAUCUUCCAUAUCUCAUAAUCAUAGUAUGCGGCAAUUGCUAACAUGAUUCGGACGGACUUCAGCUUCGCUACGGGAGAGAAAGUCUCAUCAUAGUCAACCCCUUGAACUUGUCGAUAACCCUUAGCGACAAGUCAAGCUUUAUAGAUGGUAACAUUACCAUCCGCGUCUGUCUUCUUCUUAAAGAUCCAUUUGUUUUCUAUCGCUCACCGAUCAUCGGGCAAGUCUGUCAAAGUCCAUACUUUGUUUUCAUCCAUGGAUUCUAUCUCCGAUUGCAUGGCUUCAAGCCAUUUGUUGGAAUCUGGGCCUGCCAUCGCUUCUUCAUAGUUCGAAGGUUCACCGUUGUCUAACAACAUGAUUUCCAGGACAGGGUUGCCAUACCACUUUGGUGUGGAACAUGUCCUUGUGGACCUAUGAAGUUCAGUAGCAACUUGAUCCGAAGUACUUUGAUCAUCAUCAUUAAUUUCCUCUCCAGUCGGUGUAGGCACCACAGCAACAUUUUCCUGAGCUGCACUACUUUCCGGUUCAAGAGGUAGUACUUCAUCGAGUUCUACUUUCCUCCCACUUACUCCUUUCGAGAGAAACUCUUUUUCCAGAAAGGAUCCGUUCUUGGCAACAAAGAUCUUGCCCUCGGAUCUUAAGUAGAAGGUAUACCCAAUGGUUUCCUUAGGGUAUCCUAUGAAGACGCAUUUUUCCGACUUGGGUUCGAGCUUUUCAGGUUGAAGUUUCUUGACAUAAGCAUCGCAUCCCCAAACUUUUAGAAACGACAGCUUAGGUUUCUUCCCAAACCAUAAUUCAUACGGUGUCGUCUCAACGGAUUAAGACGGAGCCCUGUUUAAAGUGAAUGUAGCUGUCUCUAGAGCGUAUCCCCAAAAUGAUAACAGUAAAUCGGUAAGAGACAUCAUAGAUCGCACCAUAUCCAAUAGAGUGCGAUUACGAUGUUCGGACACACCGUUACGCUGAGGUGUUCCAGGCGGCGUGAGUUGUGGAAUGAUUCCACAUUUCCUUAAGUGCGUACCAAAUUCGUGACUUAAAUAUUCUCCUCCACGAUCUGAUCGUAGGAACUUUAUCUUUCGGUCACGUUGAUUCUCUACCUCAUUCUGAAAUUCCUUAAACUUUUCAAAGGUCUCAGACUUGUGUUUCAUCAAGUAGACAUACCCAUAUCUACUCAAGUCAUCAGUGAGAGUGAAAACAUAAUGAUAUCCUCCGCGAGCCUCAACGCUCAUUGGACCACACACAUCAGUAUGUAUGAUUUCCAAUAAGUUGGUUGCUCGCUCCAUUGUUCUGGAGAACAGAGUCUUGGUCAUUUUGCCCAUGAGGCAUGGUUCGCAUGUGUCAAAUGAUUCAUAAUCGAGAGACUCUAAAAGUCCAUCAUCAUGGAGCUUCUUCAUGCGCUUGACACCAAUGUGACCAAGGUGGCAGUGCCACACGUAUGUGGGACUAUCGUUACCAACUUUACAUCUUUUGGUAUUCACACUAUGAAUAUGUGUAACAUUACGUUCGAGAUUCAUUAAGAAUAAACCAUUGACCAUCGGGGCAUGACCAUAAAAUAUAUCUCUCAUAUAAAUAGAACAACCAUUAUUCUCGGAUUUAAAUGAGUAGCCAUCUCGUAUUAAACGAGAUCCAGAUACAAUGUUCAUGCUCAAACUUGGCACUAAAUAACAAUUAUUGAGGUUUAAAACUAAUCACGUGGGUAAAUGUAGAGGCAGCGUGCCGACGGCGAUCACAUCGACCUUGGAACCAUUCCCGACGCGCAUCGUCACCUCGUCCUUCGCCAGUCUCCGCUUAUUCCACAGCUCCUACUAUGAGUUACAAAUAUGAGCAAUGGCACCGGUAUCAAAUACCCAGGAGUUACUAUGAGUACUGGUAAGGUACACAUCAAUUACAUGUAUAUCACAUAUACCUUUAGUGUUUUCGGCCUUCUUGUCCGCUAAGUAUUUGGGGCAGUUCCGCUUCCAGUGACCCUUCCCUUUGCAAUAAAAGCACUCAGUCUCAGGCUUGGGUCCAUUCUUUGACUUCUUCCCGGCAACUGGCCUACCGGGUGCGGCAACAUCCUUGUCGUCCUUCUUGAAGUUCUUCUUACCCUUCCCUUCUUGAACUUGGUGGUUUUAUUGACCAUCAACACUUGAUGUUCUUUCUUGAUUUCUACUUCUGUUGACUUUAGCAUUGAAAAUACUUCAGGAAUAGUUUUCACCAUCCCCUGCAUAUUGUAGUUCAUCACAAAGCUCUUGUAGCUUGGUGGGAGCGACUGAAGGAUUCUGUCAGUGACCGCCUUGUCCGGGAGGUUGAUGUCCAGCUGGGACAGGCAGUUGUGCAACCCAGACAUUUUGAGUAUGUGCUCACUGACAGAACUAUUUUCCUCCAUCUUACAACUAUAGAACAUGUCGGAGACUUCAUAUCUUUCGACCCGGGCAUGAGCUUGGAAAACCAGUUUCAGCUCCUUGAACAUCUCAUAUGCUCCGUGUUGGUCAAAAUGCUUUUGGAUCCUCGGUUCUAAGCUGUAAAGCAUGCCGCACUGAACGAGGGAGUAAUCAUCAGCACGUGACUGCCAAGCGUUCAUAAUGUCUUGGUUCUCUGGGAUGGGUGCAUCACCUAGUGGUCCUUCUAGGACAUAUGCUUUCUUAGCAGCUAUGAGGAUGAUCCUCAGGUUCUGGACCUAGUCCGUAUAGUUGCUUCCAUCAUCUUUCAGCUUGCUUUCUCUAGGAACGCGUUGAAGUUCAUGUUGACAUGAGCGUUGGCCAUUUGAUCUACAAGACAUUUUUGCAAAGAUUUUAGACUAAGUUCAUGAUAAUUAAGUUCAUCUAAUCAAAUUAUUUAAUGAACUCCCACUCAGAUUUGACAUCCCUCUAGUCAUCUAAGUGUUACACGAUCCGAGUCGACUAGGCCGUGUUCGAUCAUCACGUGAGACAGACUAGUCAUCAUCGGUGAACAUCUCGAUGUUGAUCGUAUCUUCCAUACGACUCAUGUUCGACCUUUCGGUCUCUGUGUUCCGAGGCCAUGUCUGUACAUGCUAGGCUCGUCAAGUUUAACCUAAGUGUUUUGCAUGUGUAAAACUGUCUUACACCCGUUGUAUGUGAACGUAGGAAUCUAUCACACCGGAUCAUCACGUGGUGCUUCGAAAUGACGAACUUUAGCAACGACGCACAGUUAGGGAGAACACUUUCUUGAAAUUAUUAUAAGGGAUCAUCUUAUUUACUACCGUCGUUCUAAGUAAACAAGAUGCAUAAACAUAAUAAACAUCACAUGCAAUUAUAUAGUAGUGACAUGAUAUGGCCAAUAUCAUAUAGCUCCUUUGAUCUCAAUCUUCGGGGCUCCAUGAUCAUCUUUGUCACCGGCAUGACACCAUGAUCUCCAUCAUCAUGAUCUCCAUCAUCGUGUCUCCAUGAAGUUGCUCGCCAACUAUUACUUCUACCACUAUGGCUAACGGUUUAGCAAUAAAGUAAAGUAAUUACAUGGCGUUAAAUCAUUGACACACAGGUCAUACAAUAAUUAAGACAACUCCUAUGGAUCCUGCCGGUUGUCAUAUUCAUCGACAUGCAAGUCGUGAUUCCUAUUACAAGAACAUGAUCUCAUACAUCACAAUAUAUCAUUCAUCAUUCAUCACAACUUUUGGCCAUAUCACAUCACAAGGCAAUUGCUGCAAAAACAAGUUAGACGUCCUCUAAUAGUUGUUGCAUCUUUUACGUCGCUGCAAUAGGGUUCUAGCAAGAACGUUUUCUUACCUACGAAAAAGCCACAACGUGAUUUGUCAACUUCUAUUUACCCUUCAUAAGGACCCUUUUCAUCGAAUCCGCUCCAACUAAAGUGGGAGAAACAGACACCCGCUAGCCACCUUAUGCAAGUAGUGCAUGUCAGUCGGUGAAACCUGUCUCAUGUAAGCGUACGUGUAAGGUCGGUCCGGGCCGCUUCAUCCCACAAUACCCUGAAGCAAAAUAAGACUAGUAGCGGUAAGAAAGUUGACAACAUCUACGCCCACAACAGAUUUGUGUUCUACUCGUGCAAUAGAGAACUACGCAUAGACCUAGCUCAUGAAGCCACUGUUGGGGAACGUUGCAUAAAAUAAAAAAUUUCCAACGUUCACCAAGAUCAAUCUAUGAGUUCAUCUAGCAACAAGAGAGGGAGUGCAUCUACAUACCCUUGUAGAUCGCGAGUGGAAGCGUACAAGAGAAUGGGGUUGAGGGAGUCAUACUCGUCGUGAUCCAAAUCACCGGAGAUUCUAGCGCCGAACGGACGGCACCUCCGCGUUCAACACACGUAUGGUCAGCGUGACGUCUCCUCCUUCUUUAUCCAGCAAGGGGAAAGGAGAGGUUGAUGAAGAUCCGGCAACACGACGGCGUGGUGGUGGAUGCAGCAGAGUUCCGGCAGGGCUUCGCCUAGUGACUACGGGAGGAGGAGGUGUAGAAAGGGGGGAGGGAGGCGCCAAGACUUCAGGGUGCGGCUGCCCUCCCCUCCCCCUCCUUUAUAUAGGCCCCUUGGGGGGGAGCCGGCCCUGGAGAUGGGAUAUCCAAAGGGGGCGGCGGCCAGGGGGGUGGAGUGCCCCCCAAGGCAAGUGGAGGCGCCCCCCCACCCUAGGGUUUCCAACCAUAGGCGCAGAGGGGGGCCAAGGGGGCACACCAGCCCACCAGGGGCUGGUCCCCUCCCCACUUCAGUCCACGGGGCCCUCCAGGAUAGGUGGCCCCACCCGGUGGACCCCCGGGACCCUUCCGGUGGUCCCGAUACAAUACCGGUGACCCCCGAAACUCUCCCGAUGGCCGAAACUGGACUUCCUAUAUAUAAUUUUAUCUUUGGACCAUUCCGGAACUCCUCGUGACGUCCGGGAUCUCAUCCGGGACUCCGAAAAACUUUCGGUUUGCUGCAUACUCAUAUCUCUACAACCCUAGUGUCACCGAACCUUAAGUGUGUAGACCCUACGGGUUCGGGAGACACGUAGACAUGACCGAGACGGCUCUUCGGUCAAUAACCAACAUCGGGAUCUGGAUACCCAUGUUGGCUCCCACAUGCUCCUCGAUGAUCUCAUCGGAUGAACCAUGAUGUCGAGGAUUCAAGCAACCCCGUAUUCAAUUCCCUUUGUCAAUCGAUAUUUUACUUGCCCGAGAUUCGAUCGUCGGUAUCCCAAUACCUCAUUCAAUCUCGUUACCGGCAAGUCACUUUAAUCGUACCAUAAUGCAUGAUCCCGUGACCAGACACUUGGUCACUUUGAGCUCAUUAUGAUGAUGCACUACCGAGUGGGCCCAGAGAUACCUCUCUGUCAUACGGAGUGACAAAUCCCAGUCUCGAUCCGUGUCAACCCAACAGACACUUUCGGAGAUACCUAUAGUGCACCUUUAUAGUCACCCAGUUACGUUAUGACCUUUGGUACACCCAAAGCUAUCAGGACCCCGACUCAAUGCCACAUCGAUCUAGCAUGUAACACCUCAUAUCACUUUGCGGCCUCACGCACGGUAUUCCCACGGGUGUCGUCUUACCUUUGCCCGGGACCGUUUGCACCUUUUGGCACACGUAUAUGAUAGUGUUGCUGGCAUCCAUAUGGUAAGGAGCCCGGGCUGACAUGGCUAGUCGUAAACCCAAAGUGGCACAGACUUACAGGGACAGGCAUCCAUGACCCAGCAUCGAACGUGUCGGUCAUCAGCAAGUGAAUCCGGGCUUUAGCACCGGGCUAGCAGGACUCCGGUAAACCGUGCUGCAGCGGGCUAACAGGACUCCGGUAUUCAUCGCAUGACAUUUCGCCGAAGGGACAGACACAGGAACGAAGAAGGCACAUGCCGGCCAGCCUAAGUGUUCCGGAGCAGUAGCAAGCUACCAUGGCUCAGUGGAAGCACUAGGAGACAUUUCCCGGUAAGAGAGGCUACUAAGGAUAAACAACUAGAUAGUCAGAUCCCACACAUACCAAGCAUUUCAAUCAUACACACAAUAUGCUCGAUAUGUGCAAAUACAACAAGGCAUCACAACAUGACUCUACAACACAAGUACUUUAUUUAAAGGCUCAGAGAGCCAUACAUAGUAUACACACAAGUACGGGUCACAUGACCCACAUUCAAGUAAUACAAGCAUACAAGCCAACAGCGGAAGUAACUUGUCUGAGUAGAGACAACUAGUAAAAUAAAAGAGGCCUGGGUAAGCCUAGCUAUACUACAUGGUCCUUCACAAGCUCAGGAUCACCACCUGGGCCUCAGUCUACUCAUCGAUGUCAACGUCUACGAAGAACCUGUCAGAAGGGGUUGUAGCAUCUUCUGUAAAAUGUAAAUUAGAGCAACAUGAGUACAAAGGUACUCAGCAAGACUUACAUCAGAUCCUACAUACAUGCACAUUAUCAAGAAGGGUUGGUGGGGUUAUUGCAGCAAGCCAGCUUCGACUCUUGGCUAAGCUAUCCUAUGAGACUCCAACUUGAAAUGGUUUUGCACACACGAGUCCACUACUCACCACUUCAAUACACAACCGAGGAUUCACCUCCGUCUUCCUACGGAAGAGCCAUCCUCGGCACUCACAAUUAUCUUGAGGCUUUUAGUAGUUUCCAUUUACUUGUCUAUGAACUGUUAUAGGCAACACAGAAGUCCUUUACCGCGGACACGGCUAUUCGAAUAGAUCAUUUAUAACCCUGCAGGGGUGUACUUCUUCAUACAUGUUUCCACCACUUAGCAUCUGCACACGACAUGUGCUCGGCAGACUUCAAGCGAAAGCGAAAGCCUAAACACUCAAGUCUCUAGUCCAGGUUUAUCGCCUAUUCAGGUUCCAUCCGCAGGGAGUCCGUCCGAGGUUUCCACAUACGGCCCCGAACGAUGUGUAUAGGGUUCCGUGACACCAAACAGGCGCCCGGUAUACCCGGCCACGUGCCUACCGCAUCACAGCCCACCCCUUCGAUCAGCGUUGCGCACGACCUCCAGCAUACUACAAACACCAGAAACUACUUGCAACUCCUGGACAGAGGACAAGGGUGAUUAAGAAGUCGAGCAGGGUCAUAUUUCAGGGCCCAAUGCAUGGUAGUAGCUGAACCAUGGAUCACAAACACAGAACUCAGUUCCUGAGGACGGCUUCAAUGAGACAAUCCACCAUGUACUCCUACAUGGCCUCUCAUAGCUACCUUUACCAAAUCCUGUUCACACACUUAGCUCACACUCAGUAGAAUAUGUUCACGCACCUCUGAUUCAUCCCCGAUGAAUCAGACCUGACUCAACUCUAAGCAAUAGCAGGCAUGACAAACAAACAUGAAUGAGUAGGCACAACAGGGCUCAAACAACUCCUACUCAUGCUAGUGGGUUUCAUCUAUUUACUGUGGCAAUGAUAGGUCCUGCAGAGGAUAAAGGGGUUCAGCUACCGCAGCAAGUAACAGAUGAAUCAUUGCUGUCCUAAUGCAGUAAAAGAGAGCAGGAGCGAGAGAGUAGGAUUGUAUCGAAAUGAACAAGGGGGUUUUGCUUGCCUGGCACUUCUGAAGAUAGUAUACUUCUUCAUCGGUGUCAGCGAUCACAACGUCGGUACAACGUCUACCGAGGGGGAACAACACUGGCAAACAGAGAAGAAACACGAUCAAUGCAAUGCACAAUAUGAUGCCUGCUAUGACAUGGCAAUAUGAAUGUGUUUUGGGCUAAUGCAAGCUAGAACAGAUUGAGAUGAGUCCAUUUGAACCAAAGAUUCAAAUGCAAACCCAUUUUAAGAGGUCAUAAUAGUGUAUUAACUUGUUUCACCUAAACAGCAAGGUUAAUGUGUUCUAACAUGCAUGAAACCAGUGCAGAUGGAUAGAUUGGAUUUUUUUGAUCAUUUUUCAUAUAUAAAUUAUUUCAUUCUAAGUUACGGUUAAAUUUCUAUGAAUUUUAGAAGUUUAGAGCAUUUUCUGGAAUUUCCUGUAUAAAAAUAAAUCUAGAAAAUACUUAUUGCGUCAGCAUUGCGUCACUCUGACGUCAGCAGUCAACGAGGCCGGUCCAGGUCAAACCUGACGUGUGGGGUCCACACAUCAGUGACACGGUUAACCAACAGGGUUAAUUAAAAUUAAACUAAACCUAAUCUAGUUUAGUUAAGGCCUGGGCCCACAUGUCAGAGGCUAACCUAACUAACUAAGUUAAUUACCGCUCAUUAAUCUAUCGCUUAAUUAAGCAGGGGCCUGGCCCACACGUCAAUGAGUCAGGGGGAAGUCAAACCCCGGUCAAACCCGCCGGACCUGGUCCACGGCUCGUCGCCGGCGACGACAGAGACAACGAGGCGGCUCGGGAAUGCUCUACAGGGCACCGUUUUACUCGUGGUUUGCGGCUACGGCUAGCUAGCAAUGCGGCGCAUCUAAUGGAGCGAAUGGGUGGAGCUGGGGUGGCCUGAGCCGACGGCGGCGAGCUCCAAGGCGGCGGCCGGAGUUCGGGCAAUGACGGGUUUGGCGCCACAGUGCAUGGGAGGAGGAGCUGGUGGGCGCUACGGGCUCUUGGGGGUGCACUGGGUGUAGUGACGCGCUCGGUUUGGACGGAGGUGAACUAAAAUGACGACAGCGACAAGUCUGGCACCAGUGAGGUUUCGGUCUCGACGGAAACGAGGGCUACGAUGAGCUAAUGGACAUGUGAGUAGGGGGGUCAGUAAAGGAGCUUACGGCGAGUGCAGAGGUGGCCUCGGCGUGCUCGGGGAAGCACUGGAGCGAGCGGUGCGGCGAGAGGGAUCUCCGGCGGCCGGUGACGAAGAUGAUCAAGAUGGCGUCAAUCCAGGGCCUCCGGCGAUGCGUGGCUAGACGGAGAGGACGAGGGAGGCGUGGCGAUGCUCGUGGACACGUCGGAGAGGCUCGGGGUUGGCUGCGGCUGCGGCUAUGGCGAACGGCGGCGGCGGUGGCGUUCGGUGGUGAGAGGGAGAGAGAGUAGAGGAGGGGGAGGAGCAUGGGGAGAGUGAGAGAGAGCCACAGGGGUUGCGUGUCGACGUCCAUGGCAUCCAGAGGGACGUCGGGAGGCGGUGGAAAGCUGGAGGUGGCCGAGGGGCGUGGGCGUGAAUGGCGGCCACACGCCUCUCAUCCUACUGGCGAGAGGUGGGAGAUGACUGGCAGAUGGGCCUGGUGGGCUGCUACAGUGCCAGGCCGGCCAGGUAAGCGCCAGGUAUUCUCUCUCUCUCUCUCUUUUGUUAAUGUUUUUCUAUUUUUCUGUAACUUCAGGGCUUUAUUAAAAAUGCCAGGGCAUUUCCAAAAAUCAUGAAACUAAUCAUGGCUACUGUUUAGAAUAUAUCCAACAGUAAACAUUUUAGUUUAUGAUUAUUUGAGCAUUUAAAAUAUUUUAUAGCACUUAAAUGCCCAAAUGCAAAUACUAUAGGAUUUAAUUUAGAAAUCCAGAAUGGCCUAGAAAUAUGUGCAUGACAUUUGGCAGAGGUUUUCACCUUUGACCGAAAUCAUGAACUUUUCUAAAGGGCAUUUGGGAUCACUAAAAAUAUUAUUUUUUUGAACCUAGUUGAAUUCAUUUGGUGCUAGGGUUUCAACAAUCCCCAUUUCAAGUUUCAUGAAAUUUAAACAUGAUGCAUGGAUGCAAAGUCACUAGUUACGAGCAAACUCUAGGGCUGUGAUAACUCACCCCCACUAAACAAGAAUCUCGUCUUGAGAUUCAAGACGUGAGGUAAGAAGACAAAGGGGGCACAAAACCAACACAAUCUUCAUGAUCCAGGUUGCACCUCAUAAGGUUGUUGAUUCGUUGCAUACAUUGAUCUUGACAUCCUCGCUUUUGAGAUCUUCAUCCAUGCGAUGACGACGGAAAGGAACUCUACUAGGAUUGAUCUUCUCAAAGACCGAAUUAUACAAUCUCAACUCGCGGAGUGAGAUGUUGAAACACCUUGAGUUGAGACACAAAACACAUCGAGAGGGAUGGAAGAACAAACGACGGGGUUUGAUUUGGUGGGAAACAAUUCCACGCUUAGAAAGAUGGUGGAUGGUGUCAAGGUGGCGAGGAAAUAAUUGCCAUGAUCCCGUAACGGGGCACCUUAGGGAAGGUGACUCGUAGGUUUGUUACCUUAAGUGGCAAAAGGAAUUAUUUUUGAUUCAGAGAUCAUUGAAACUCUUUAUACCAGCCUAAGGCAAUUCACAACAAUCGUUUGGCAGAGUACAAAGGGAUGGCAUACCCGGACUAGAAUGGAUGAUGUGGACUACCUUGUUGAAGACAACGUAAUGAAUGCUUUUUGCUUAUCAUCGGAGGUGGAGGGGACCCAUGGUAGGACCACUUCUAAAGAUGAUCCUGAACAACAAUUGCUGAGAAGGGCAGUCCAAGGAGGAUUGGCACAAGGCGGUGCAAGCUGGGAACGAAAUGCAAAUGUCGGGAAUGUUCCAACCAUCAUAUCUGCCUGAGAUUCAGAUUUGGUUGGUGUUAGGACAUUCCAGACUCAUCAAGUCUAGGAAGAAAAAUGAAAGUUUGCAACACAAAUCGAUGAGAUGACGUCGCGAGAUUCUCGGGAGAUAAACUACGAUAGCAAGCUCCAAAACAUGAGCUGGUUCUGCUAAACAUGUGUGAACACGCUGUCCCAGACAAACAUGACCACAUAGUAGUCUUAAUAUAAAACACUACCGAGUUCAGGUGGGGAACCAUCAUUGCGGAUAACGAAGUCCUUGCAUAAGUCAUGAUUCUUAAGAAGGAGCUUCUUCUCCCUGAACAAAUCAAUCAGUGGCUUGGUGUGCUAGGGAUACGUAAGCAAUGAAGAUGAUCAGUCUAUCAGACCAUAGAAUACUUCGCACAUGCAUGACUGACUUGGGAUGAUCCCGGAGGGAACAAAACUAACUUUCUCAAAUUCACGGCGGCAACUUGCACCUAAUGCGCGUGAACUUGGAGAGAGUCACUUCUUACAUCCAAGCAUAUUCUUCAUGAACGAAACACGAAGAUAAUGCUUAUAUAGUUUCCAAUACUAGCUGAAGGUUCAACACGAAUCAUGGAAGAGAUAAAAAUGUUGCUGAUGGGCUCAACAACAAUUCAUCUAGGUUUCCAUAUAAGUGGAAUUCCACAAUUAUGUGAACAAGGCGAUAGCAUCGGUCAGACCAAAGGAUAUAACGGUGUAUGCCCGAGGAAACAACCACGGGUAAGACAACAUUACGAAUAUCGUUGGUUCUGAUUUGACUUGACAAUAGCCCAUGCUCAAAUCAGAGAUUGGUUACGAUAAUAGAUCCAACAACUGAUCACAGGGACCAAUCGAUGAAGAUAUCAUCUUUCUUCAACAUACAUACAAGAUAUCACUUAACAUGAACUAAGUCGGACAAGCUUUUAUCUUCCAACUCUCCAAGUUGAUGUAUAGCUUAACCAACUAGCUCAGGGGUAUCCAACACGGAUUCUUGGAGAAAGGGUGGUUUACAAGAAUAAACCAACUUGAUCAUGAACUCAACAUAGCGGUCAGGUGACGACCUAGUGAUACUUCCGAGAAGAUAAUCAGAAAAUCAGGAACCACCGGUAUGUUACUAAGCUCGAGAGAAAUCUUGCUUUUCAGGGCAAGACGAUAUGAUCAAAUGAGCAAGGGAUUGACAAAAUCCUAACUCAACGACCGAAGAGUGCACCGGAAAUAGGGACUAGAUAGCACAAUCAACCUUAGGGUGACGAUUCAAUAAUCAACACGCUAAGAAUGAGGUUAGCGUCCAUUUAACUACCAAGCAACGGAGUUGCUAGCAGUAUUGAUUUCACACACCAUGAUUCACUUGUCAGUAUUCCGGUUGCAACAACACGGAACCGAGGAGCGAAUGAUGAUGGCAAGAAGUAUCACUACUUCAAGAAUCCAUAAGGGAAGGUGCAAUUCUCAUGACGUUCCUGACAUAAAGUGGGUAAUACUUCAGGGUAGAACAGAACAAAAGCUGAAUUAGUAUUUGAUCUGCGAUUUACAACUGCUUUGACCCGAUCCUGGAUAUGGAUGAGGUACGGGAGUUUGUUUCUCCUAGUCAUUCUAGAAUAGAAUGGCUUGACAUACCACUAGAGUAAUAGGCAUCAAUGAACGAAUGCACGCAUACUCUUGACUAUCAAUUGAUAGAUGGGGUCGGAAUACAACUAAGGAGGGACAACCCAAACGAACUUACGAUCUUCUGAGUUGUGGAUGCACAUAUUAGUAUGUCGAGCAAAGAUCAACAUUUUUCUUCCGGAUAACCCAUGCGGAGAAGGUAGGACUGGCAGAUUCACAAUAUAGAAUCGAGAACGCAUCAAGAGCACUCUGGUUGUGAUCUUUCGGUUAAACGAGGAACUUCUGCCAUAAGUAGUUCAUGGUAUUUGGAAGAAGGAAAUACCACGGACCUCGAGGACUAAUGCAAAGGUUACUAAUUUCCUAAAGGAACUAGCAAACACUAUCAUCAUGAGUAAGUGGGGUGAAUCUCGGUUCAAGAACCCAGGAAUAGAAUACCUACUACUAAGUGGCAUCACGGGAUGCUUUCGAGAAUAAAGGCCAGAAUUAUCACACCGGGAACAAAUCAUGGCUAGAUUACUAGAUGAUCCCCUAGGACACCUAGGGUCAUAAUAAUAAUUCCAACAUAUAUGUCGAGGCAAUAGAAUACUUCAACUCAGCAAUUAGUGUGAUUAACCUGGCUCAAAGGAACAUCAAAACCAGAGGGAAAUGAUUUGCAAGUGCAUCAGAUUGUUUAGAAACCUGGGAUGACUCGGACAACAUAACGGCUGUAAAUGCUCAAAAGGAAUUUUGAGACAUUUUGCAAAGAGUUGCAUAGACACUCAACAAUAUCAUAUCAAGGUUCUGGGUCCAACUUAGCAACAUAAUAGGGUAGUAGAACUGAACUAGGCUUAUAAUCAUCAAACCAAUAAGGUACUACUGAUUAGUAACACGUGAACCUGAUAGAGAGAAAAGAUCCUAAUCCUUAACCCCCGGUGGAAGAAUGGACUGACUCAGAUCAGAAUGCCAUGAGGUAAAGAAGUAAAAAGAGCCUUACGUACCAUCCCACAAUCAAUUCCCCUACAUAUAACUAAAGCAUUUCUAGACUCAACAUCGACCAGUUUGGCUUGGUAAUCCUACAGGCAGUCAGGCUCUUAUACCAAAGCUGUCAGGUCCUGAACGAUGUGUACAGGGUUCCGUGACACCAAACGGGCGCCCGGUAUACCCGGCCACGUGCCUACCGCAUCACAGCCCACCCCUCCGGUCAGCGUUGCGCACGGCCUCCAGCAUACUACAAACACCAGAAACUACUUGCAACUCCUGGACAGAGGACAAGGGUGAUUAAGAAGUCGAGCGGGGUCAUAUUUCAGGGCCCAAUGCAUGGUAGUAGCUGAAUCAUGGAUCACAAACACAUAACUCAGUUCCUGAGGGCGGCUUCAAUGAGACAACCCACCAUGUACUCCUACAUGGACUCUCACCGCUACCUUUACCAAAUCGUGUUCACACACUUAGCUCACACUCAGUAGAAUAUGUUCACGCACCUCUGAUUCAUCCCCGGUGAAUCCGACUUAACUCAACUCUAAGCAAUAGCAGGCAUGACAAACAAACAUGAAUGAGUAGGCACAACAGGGCUCAAACAACUCCUACUCAUGCUAGUGGGUUUCAUCAAUUUACUAUGGCAAUGACAGGUCAUGCAGAGGAUAAAGGGGUUCAGCUACCGCAGCAAGUAAUAGAUGAAUCGUUGUUGUCCUAAUGCAGUGAAAGAGAACAGGAGCGAUAGAGUAGCAUUGUAUCGGAAUGAACAAGGGGGUUUUGCUUGCCUAGCACUUCUGAAGAUAGUAUACUUCUUCAUCGGUGUCAUCGAUCACAACAUCGGUACAACGUCUACCGAGGGGGAACAACACCGGCAAACAGAGAAGCAACAUGAUCAAUGCAAUGCACAAUAUGAUGCAUGCUAUGACAUGGCAAUAUGAAUGUGUUUUGGGCUAAUGCAAGCUAGAACAGAUUGAGAUGAGUCCAUUUGAACCAAAGAUUCAAAUGCAAACCCAUUUUAAGAGGUCAUAAUAGUGUAUUAACUUGUUUCACCUAAACAGCAAGGUUAAUGUGUUCUAACAUGCAUGAAACCAGUGCAGAUGGAUAGAUUGGAUUUGUUUGAUCAUUUUUCAUAUAUAAAUUAUUUCAUUCUGAGUUACGGUUAAAUUUCUAUGAAUUUUAGAAGUUUAGAGCAUUUUCUGGAAUUUCCUGUAUAAAAAUAAAUCCAGAAAAUACUUAUUGCGUCAGCAUUGCAUCGCUCUGACGUCAACAGUGAACGAGGCCAGUCCAGGUCAAACCUGACGUGUGGGGUCCACACGUCAGUGACACGGUUAACCAACAGGGUUAAUUAAAAUUAAACUAAACCUAAUCUAGUUUAGUUAAGGCCUGGGCCAACAUGUCAGAGGCUAACCUAACUAAGUUAAUUACAGCUAAUUAAUCUAUCGCUUAAUUAAGCAGGGGCCUGGCCCACACGUCAGUGAGUCAGGGGGAAGUCAAACCCCGGUCAAACGGGGUCAAACCCGCCGGACCUGGUCCACGGCUCAUCGCCGGCGACGACAGAGACGAUGGGGCGGCUCGUGAAUGCUCUACAGGGCACCGUUUUACUCAUGGUUUGUGGCUACGGCUAGCUAGCAAUGCGGCGCAUCUAAUUGAGCGAACGGGAGGAGCUAGGGUGUCCUGAGCCGACGGCGGCGAGCUCCAAGGCGGCGGCCGGAGUUCGGGCAACGACGGGUUCGGUGCCAUAGUGCAUGGGAGGAGGAGCCGGUGGGCGCUACGGGCUCCUGGGGGUGCACUGGGUGUAGUGACGCGCUCGGUUUGGACGGAGGCGAACUAAAAUGACGACGGCAACAAGUCCGGCGCCGGUGAGGUUUCGGUCUCGACGGAAACGAGGGCUACGAUGAGCUAAUGGACAUGUGAGUAGGGGGGUUAGUAGAGGAGCUUACGACGAGUGCAUAGGUGGCCUAGGCGUGCUCGGGGAAGCACCGGAGCGAGCGGUGCAGCGAGAGGGAUCUCCGGCAGCCGGCGACGAAGAUGAUGAAGAUGGCGUCGAUCCAGGGCCUCCGGCGAUGCGUUGCUGUGCGGAGAGGACUAGGGAGGCGUGGCGAUGCUCGUGGACACGUCGGAGAGGCUCGGAGUUGGCUGCGGCUGCGGCUAUGGCGAACGGCGGCGGCGGUGGCGUUCGGUGGUGAGAGGGAGAGAGAGUAGAGGAGGGGGAGGAGCAUGGGGAGAGUGAGAGAGAGCCACAGGGGUUGCGUGUCGACGUCCAGGGCAUCCAGAGCGACGUCGGGAGGCGGUGGAAAGCUGGAGGUGGCCGAGGCGCGUGGGCGUGAAUGGCGGCCACACGCCUCUCGUCCUACUGGCGAGAGGUGGGAGAUGACUGGCAGAUGGGCCUGGUGGGCUGCUACAGUGCCAGGCCGGCCAGGUAAGCGCCAGAUAUUCUCUCUCUCUCUUUUGUUAAUGUUUUUUUAUUUUUCUGUAACUUCAGGGCUUUAUUAAGAAUGCCAGGGCAUUUCCAAAAAUCAUGAAACUAAUCAUGGCUACUGUUUAGAAUAUAUCCAACAGUAAACAUUUUAGUUUAUGAUUAUUUGAGCAUUUAAAAUAUUUUAUAGCACUUAAAUGCCCAAAUGCAAAUACUAUAGGAUUUAAUUUAGAAAUCCAGAAUGGCCUAGAAAUAUGUGCAUGACAUUUGGCAGAGGUUUUCACCGUUGACAGAAAUCAUGAAAUUUUCUAAAGGGCAUUUGGGAUCACUGAAAAUAUAUAUUUUUUGAACCUAGUUGAAUUCAUUUGGUGCUAGGGUUUCAACAAUCCCCAUUUCAAGUUUCAUGAAAUUUAAACAUGAUGCAUGGAUGCAAAGCCACUAGUUACAAGCAAACUCUGGGGCUAUGACAAAAGCACUCCUACGGUAUCGGUAUCCGGGAGUUACACGAUCUCAUGGUCUAAGGAGAAGAUACUUGACACUGGAAAAGCUCUAGCAAACGAACUACACGAUCUUGUGCUAUGCUUAGGAUUGGGUCUUGUCCAUCACAUCAUUUUCCUAAUGAUGUGAUCCCGUUAUCAACGACAUCUAAUGUCCAUAGUCAGGAAACCAUGACUAUCUGUUGAUCAACGAGCUAGUCAACUAGAGGCUCACUAGGGACAUAUUAUGGUCUAUGUAUUCACACGUGUAUUACGAUUUCCGGAUAAUACAAUUAUAGCAUGAAUAAAGACAAUUAUCAUGAACAAGGAAAUAUAAUAAUAAUCCUUUUAUUAUUGCCUCUAGGGCAUAUUUCCAACAACAUAUUCUACGAAGAUCUUUAUCGGUCAAACCACAUAACAACAUAGGUUCUUCCCUUUGUCAUCGGUAUGUUACUUGCCUGAGAUUCGAUCGUCGGUAUCUCAAUACCUAGUUCAAUCUCGUUACCGGCAAGUAUGUUUACUCAUUCCAUAAUGCAUGAUCCCGCAACUAACUCAUUAGUCACAUUGCUUGCAAGGCUUAUAGUGAUGUGCAUUACCGAGAGGGCCCAGUGAUACCUCUCCGACAAUCGGAGUGACAAAUCCUAACCUCGAUCUAUGCCAACUCAACAAGUACCAUCGGAGACACCUGUAGAGCACCUUUAUAAUCCCCCAGUUACGUUGUGACGUUUGGUAGCACACAAAGUGUUCCUCUGGUAUUUGGGAGUUGCAUAAUCUCAUAGUCAUAGGAACACGUAUAAGUCAUGAAGAAAGCAAUAGCAACAAACUAAACGAUCAAGUGCUAAGCUAACGAAAUGGGUCAAGUCAAUCACAUCAUUCUCUAAUGAUGUGAUCCCGUUAAUCAAAUGACAACUGUCUAUGGUUAGGAAACACAACCAUCUUUGAUUCAACGAGCUAGUCAAGUAGAGGCAUACUAGUGACACUUUGUUUGUCUAUGUAUUCACACAUGUACUAAGUUUCCGGUUAGUACUAUUCUAGCAUGAAUAAUAAACAUUUAUCAUGAUAUAUGGAAAUAUAAAUAACAACUUUAUUAUUGCCUCUAGGGCAUAUUUCCUUCAAAAUUUAGAGAUGACAAACAAAGCUUAAGUAGCAUCUGUUCUACUUGAUUGUAGAAAUUUCUUUUACCUGUAGAAUAACUCGGUUGUUAUUUCUUUAAACAUGAAGUGUGAUAUUAACUUAUCUCAAUCUAGGAACACAAAGCAAAUAUUACAUGUGCUUCUAUGGACUCCAAGCAGAUGAGAAAUCAUUUUGUCUAGAAGUUCCUUAGAAGGAUAUAAUAGUUUUGACCUAAACAAAUUUACUAUUGUACUCGUGUCUUACAAAGUUAAAGCUGAAAAUCAACAUAACCAUUGGACCCUUUGAAAGACAAGUGUAGGAAAUAAAUAGUAGGAUAUAAAUUUGAGCAGAAUGUUUGAUCAAAUACUGAACAAAUAACCCAGCAAACUACUAAAACUCGUCUAUUCUACCUUAUAUGAACUGUCACGAUGAUAAAGCUAUGAUUUUUUUUGGCAAAUAAGUAUCCUAGAACUAAUACAAGUUCAAACAAAUCAGCCACAGAUCCCCGAGCCCAUCCAACCAGAUAGCUGAAACUGAAAGAAGCAUUAGCUCGAUUAGAGCACCUACAGCGGAACUUGACAAAUUUGACCCCUGAAACGCCCGCGGACACGCGUGUUAGUAGACAUAAACCAAUCUUUAAGCAGAGCACGUCCGGCAGUCGGAUGCUCCCCAAAGUGUUGGUCCAGUCGCCGGCAAGGUAGAGUAGGGCAUGGGAUACAAGGCGGCUCACGGGACUCGAGGCGCCACCGUCCCCCAUUCCCAACUCUUCUCAGUCGGAACCCGGACAGUGCCGGUGGACGUCAGAUCGAUGAUGGAUCCUUCCUGGGACGAGCCAGCAACAUCCACCACCACGUGGUUGUGCAGCCCGAACUAGUGCACAAUAUGGGGAGCCGGAAAAUACGACUCCGCCUCCGCAACGCCCACCACCGCGAGGGCUGUCGCUGCCUCCCGCACCCGCUGCAUUGCAUGGCAGGAGCGCCGAACUAUGUUUUGCAUCGGGCGACGCCCAUGGUGCGUCCAUGGCCUCAGUGCGCCAAUGGAGGGGCUGCGCGUCCGCCACCCAUUCAAACGCCAGAUGGACCGCACCACCUUUGUGUUGGAAAUAUGCCCUAGAGGAAAUAAUAAAAGGAUUAUUAUUGUAUUUCCUUGUUCAUGAUAAUUAUCUUUAUUCAUGCUAUAAUUGUAUUAUCCAGAAAUCGUAAUAGACGUGUGAAUACAUAGACCAUAAUAUGUCCCUAGUGAGCCUCUAGUUGACUAGCUCGUUGAUCAACAGAUAGUCAUGGUUUCCUGACUAUGGACAUUAGAUGUCGUUGAUAAUGGGAUCACAUCAUUAAGAUAAUGAUGUGAUGGACAAGACCCAAUCCUAAGCAUAGCACAAGAUCGUGUAGUUCGUUUGCUAGAGCUUUUCCAAUGUCAAGUAUCUUCUCCUUAGACCAUGAGAUCGUGUAACUCCCGGAUACCGUAGGAGUCCUUUGGGUGUACCAAACGUCACAACGUAACUGGGUGACUAUAAAGGUGCACUACAGGUAUCUCCGAAAGUGUUUGUUGGGUUGACACCGAUCGAGACUGGGAUUUGUCACUCCGUAUGACGGAGAGGUAUCGCUGGGCCCACUCGGUAGUGCAUCAUCAUAAUGAGCUCAAAGUGACCAAGUGUCUGGUCACGGGAUCAUGCAUUACGGUACGAGUAAAGUGAAUUGCCGGUAACGAGAUUGAACGAGGUAUUGGGAUACCGACGAUCGAAUCUCGGGCAAUUAAAAUACCGAUUGACAAAGGGAAUUGAAUACGUGGUUGCUUGAAUCCUCGACAUCGUGGUUCAUCCGAUGAGAUCAUCGAGGAGCAUGUGGGAGCCAACAUGGGUAUCCAGAUCCCGCCGUUGGUUAUUGACUGGAGAGCCGUCUCAGUCAUGUCUACGUGUCUCCCGAAUCCGUAGGGUCUACACACUUAAGGUUCGGUGACGCUAGGGUUGUAGAGAUAUGAGUAUGCAGCAAACCGAAAGUUGUUCGGAGUCCCGGAUGAGAUCCCGGACAUCACGAGGAGUUCCGAAUGGUCCGGAGAUAAAGAAUUAUAUAUAGGAAGUGCAUUUUCAGCGAUCGGGAGAGUUUCGGGGGUCACCGGUAUUGUACCGGGACCACCGGAAGGGUCCCGGGGGUCCACUGGGUGGGGCCACCUAUCCCGGAGGGCCCCGUGGGCUGAAGUGGGGAGGGGACCAGCCCAUAGUGGGCUGGUGCGACCCCCUUGCCCCACCUACGCCUAGGGUUGGAAACCCUAGGGUGGGGGGCGCCUCCACUUGCCUUGGGGGGCACUCCACCCCCCUGGCCGCCGCCCCCUUGGGAGAUCCCAUCUCCAGGGCCGGCGCCCCCCCAGGGGGCCUAUAUAAAGGAGGGGGAGGGGAGGGCAGCCGCACCCUGAAGUCUUGGCGCCUCCCUCCCCCCUUGCUACACCUCCUCCUCCCGUAGUCGCUUGGCGAAGCCCUGCCGGAACUCUGCUGUAUCCACCACCACGCCGUCGUGCUGCUGGAUCUUCAUCAACCUCUCCUUCCCCCUUGCUGGAUCAAGAAGGAGGAGACGUCACGCUGACCGUACGUGCGUUGAACGCGGAGGUGCCGUCCGUUCGACGCUAGGAUCUCUGGUGAUUUGGAUCACGACGAGUACGACUCCCUCAACCCCGUUCUCUUGAACGCUUCCGCUCGCGAUCUACAAGGGUAUGUAGAUGCACUCCCCUCUCUCGUUGCUAGAUGAACUCAUAGAUUGAUCUUGGUGAACGUAGGAAAUUUUUUAUUUUAUGCAACGUUCCCCAACAGUGGCAUCAUGAGCUAGGUCUAUGCGUAGUUCUCUAUUGCACGAGUAGAACACAAAUCUGUUGUGGGCGUAGAUGUUGUCAACUUUCUUGCCACUACUAGUCUUAUUUUGCUUCAGCGGUAUUGUGGGAUGAAGUGGCCCGGACCGACCUUACACGUACGCUUACGUGACACAGGUUCCACCGACUGACAUGCACUAGUUGCAUAAGGUGGCUAGCGGGUGUCUGUCUCUCCCACUUUAGUUGGAGCGGAUUCGAUGAAAAGGGUCCUUAUGAAGGGUAAAUAGAAGUUGACAACUCACGUUGUGGCUUUUUUGUUGGUAAGAAAACAUUCUUGCUAGAACCCUAUUGCAGCCACGUAAAAGAUGCAACAACAAUUAGAGGACGUCUAACUUGUUUUUGAAGCAAUUGCCUUGUGAUGUGAUAUGGCCAAAAGUUGUGAUGAAUGAUGAAUGAUAUAUUGUGAUGUAUGAGAUCAUGUUCUUGUAAUAGGAAUCACGACUUGCAUGUCGAUGAGUAUGAAAACCGGCAGGAGCCAUAGGAGUGGUCUUAAUUAUUGUAUGACCUGCGUGUCAAUGAUUUAACGCCAUGUAAUUACUUUACUUUAUUGCUAAACCGUUAGCCAUAGUAGUAGAAGUAAUAGUUGGCGAGCAACUUCAUGGAGGCACGAUGAUGGAGAUCAUGAUGAUGGAGAUCAUGGUGUCAUGCCGGUGACAAAGAUGAUCAUGGAGCCCCGAAGAUGGAGAUCAAAGGAGCUAUAUGAUAUUGGCCAUAUCAUGUCACUACUAUAUAAUUGCAUGUGAUGUUUAUUAUGUUUAUGCAUCUUCUUUACUUAGAACGACUGUAGUAAAUAAGAUGAUCCCUUAUAAUAAUUUCAAGAAAGUGUUCUCCCUAACUGUGCGUCGUUGCUAAAGUUCGUCGUUUCGAAGCACCACGUGAUGAUCGGGUGUGAUAGAUUCCUACGUUCACAUACAACGGGUGUAAGACAGUUUUACACAUGCAAAACACUUAGGUUAAACUUGACGAGCCUAGCAUGUAUAUACAUGGCCUCAGAACACAGAGACCGAAAGGUCGAACAUGAGUCAUAUGGAAGAUACGAUCAACAUGGAGAUGUUCACCAAUGAUGACUAGUCCGUCUCACGUGAUGAUCGGACACGUCCUAGUCGACUCGGAUCGUGUAACACUUAGAUGACUAGAGGGAUGUCAAAUCUGAGUGGGAGUUCACUAAAUUAGAUGAACUUAAUUAUCAUGAACUUAGUCUAAAAUCUUUGCAAAAAUGUCUUGUAGAUCAAAUGGCCAACGCUCAUGUCAACAUGAACUUCAACGAGUUCCUAGAGAAAACCAAGCUGAAAGAUGAUGGCAGCAACUAUAUGGACUGGGUCCAGAACCUGAGGAUCAUCCUCAUAGCUUCCAAGAAAGCAUAUGUCCUAGAAGGACCACUAGGUGAUGCACCCAUCCCAGAGAACCAAGAUGUUAUGAACGCUUGGCAGUCACGUGCUGAUGAUUACUCCCUCGUUCAGUGCGGCAUGCUUUACAGCUUAGAACCGGGUCUCCAAAAGCGUUUUGAGAAACACGGAGCAUAUGAAAUGUUCGAGGAGCUGAAAAUGGUUUUCCAAGCUCAUGCCCGGGUCGAGAGAUAUGAAGUCUCCGACAUGUUCUAUAGUUGUAAGAUGGAGGAAAAUAGUUCUGUCAGUGAGCACAUACUCAAAAUGUCUGGGUUGCACAACUGCCUAACCCAGCUGGACAUCAACCUCCCGGACGAGGCGGUCAUUGACAGAAUCCUUCAGUCGCUCCCACCAAGCUACAAGAGAUUUGUGAUGAACUACAAUAUGCAGGGGAUGGUGAAAACUAUUCCUGAAGUAUUUUCAAUACUGAAGUCUGCAGAGGUAGAAAUCAAGAAAGAACAUCAAGUGUUGAUGGUCAAUAAAACCACCAAGUUCAAGAAGGGCAAGGGUAAGAAAAACUUCAAGACGGACGGCAAGGAUGUUGCCGCACCCGGUAGGCCAGUUGCCGGGAAGAAGUCAAAGAAUGGACCCAAGCCUGAGACUGAGUGCUUUUAUUGCAAAAGGAAGGGUCACUGGAAGCGGAACUGCCCCAAAUAGUUAGCGGACAAGAAGGCCGGCAACACUAAAGGUAUAUGUGAUAUACAUGUAAUUGAUGUGUACCUUACCAGUACUCGUAGUAACUCCUGGGUAUUUGAUACCGGUGCCGUUGCUCAUAUUUGUAACUCACAGUAGGAGCUGCGGAAUAAGCGGAGACUGGCGAAGGACGAGGUGACGAUGCGCGUCGGGAAUGGUUCCAAGGUCGAUGUGAUUGCCGUCGGCACGCUGCCUCUACAUUUACCCACGGGAUUAGUUUUAAACCUCAAUAAUUGUUAUUUAGUGCCAAGUUUGAGCAUGAACAUUGUAUCUGGAUCUCGUUUAAUACGAGAUGGCUACUCAUUUAAAUCCGAGAAUAAUGGUUGUUCUAUUUAUAUGAGAGAUAUGUUUUAUGGUCAUGCCCCGAUGGUCAAUGGUUUAUUCUUAAUGAAUCUCGAACGUAAUGUUACACAUAUUCAUAGUGUGAAUACCAAAAGAUGUAAAGUUGAUAACGAUAGUCCCACAUACUUGUGGCACUGCCGCCUUGGUCAUAUUGGUGUCAAGCGCAUGAAGAAGCUCCAUGAUGAUGGACUUUUAGAGUCUGUCGAUUAUGAAUCAUUUGACACAUGCGAACCAUGCCUCAUGGGCAAAAUGACCAAGACUCCGUUCUCCGGAACAAUGGAGCGAGCAACCAACUUAUUGGAAAUCAUACAUACUGAUGUGUGUGGUCCAAUGAGCGUUGAGGCUCGCGGAGGAUAUCAUUAUGUUCUCACUCUCACUGAUGACUUGAGUAGAUAUGGGUAUGUCUACUUGAUGAAACACAAGUCUGAGACCUUUGAAAAGUUCAAGGAAUUUCAGAAUGAGGUAGAGAAUCAACAUGACCGAAAGAUAAAGUUCCUACGAUCAGAUCGUGGAGGAGAAUAUUUAAGUCACGAAUUUGGUACGCACUUAAGGAAAUGUGGAAUCAUUCCACAACUCACGCCGCCUGGAACACCUCAGCGUAACGGUGUGUCCGAAUGUCGUAAUCGCACUCUAUUGGAUAUGGUGCGAUCUAUGAUGUCUCCUACCGAUUUACUGCUAUCAUUUUGGGGAUACGCUCUAGAGACAGCUACAUUCACUUUAAACAGGGCUCCGUCUAAAUCCGUUGAGACGACACCGUAUGAAUUAUGGUUUGGGAAGAAACCUAAGCUAUCGUCUCUAAAAGUUUGGGGAUGCGAUGCUUAUGUCAAGAAACUUCAACCUGAAAAGCUCGAACCCAAGUCGGAAAAAUGCGUCUUCAUAGGAUACCCUAAGGAAACCAUUGGGUAUACCUUCUACUUAAGAUCCGAGGGCAAGAUCUUUGUAGCCAAGAACGGAUCCUUUCUGGAAAAAGAGUUUCUCUCGAAAGGAGUAAGUGGGAGGAAAGUAGAACUCGAUGAAGUAGUACCUCUUGAACCGGAAAGUAGUGGAGCUCAGGAAAAUGUUCCUGUGGUGCCUACACCGACUAGAGAGGAAAUUAAUGAUGAUGAUCACAGUACUUUGGAUCAAGUUGCUACUGAACUUCGUAGGUCCACAGGGACACAUUCCAAACCAGAGUGGUAUGGCAACCCUGUCCUGGAAAUCAUGUUUUUAGACAACGGUGAACCUUCGAACUAUGAAGAAGCGAUGGCGGGCCCAGAUUCCAACAAAUGGCUUGAAGGCAUGCAAUCCGAGAUAGAAUCCAUGUAUGAAAACAAAGUAUGGACUUUGACAGACUUGCCCGAUGAUCAGCGAGCGAUAGGAAACAAAUGGAUCUUUAAGAAGAAGACAGACGCGGAUGGUAAUGUUACCAUCUAUAAAGCUCGACUUGUCGCUAAGGGUUAUCGGCAAGUUCAAGGGGUUGACUACGAUGAAACUUUCUCUCCCGUAGCAAAGCUGAAGUCCGUCUGAAUCAUGUUAGCAAUUGUCGCAUACUAUGAUUAUGAGUUAUGGAAGAUGGACGACAAAACGGCAUUCCUUAACGGGCAUCUUAAGGAAGAACUGUAUAUGAUGCAGCCGGAGGGUUUUGUCGAUCCUAAGAAUGAUAAUAAGGUAUGCAAGCUCCAGCAAUCCAUUUAUGGGCUGGUGCAAGCAUCUCGGAGUUGGAACAUUCGCUUUGAUGAGAUUUUCAAAGCGUUUGGGUUUAUGAAGACUUAUGGAGAAGCCUGCGUUUACAAGAAAGUGAGUGGGAGCUCUGUAGCAUUUCUCAUAUUAUAUGUAGAUGACAUACUUUUGAUGGGAAAUGAUAUAAAACUUUUGGACAGCAUUAAGGCCUACUUGAAUAAGUGUUUUUCAAUGAAGGACCUUGGAGAAGCUGCUUACAUAUUAGGCAUCAAGAUCUAUAGGGAUAGAUCGAGACGCCUCAUAGGUCUUUCACAAAGCACAUACCUUAAUAAAAUAUUGAAGAAGUUUAAAAUGGAUCAGUCCAAGAAAGGGUUCUUGCCUGUAUUGCAAGGUGUGAAGUUGAGCUUGGCUCAAUGCCCGACCACGGCAGAAGAUAAAGAAGAGAUGAGUGUCAUCCCCUAUGCCUCAACCAUAGGAUCUAUUAUGUAUGCCAUGUUGUGCACCAGACCUGAUGUAAACCUUGCCGUAAGUUUGGUAGGAAGGUACCAAAGUAAUCCCGGCAAGGAACACUGGACAGCGGUCAAGAAUAUCCCGAAGUACCACAAAAGGACAAAGGACAUGUUUCUCGUUUAUGGAGGUGACAAAGAGCUCGUCGUAAAGGGUUACGUCGAUGCUAGCUUCGACACAGAUCUGGAUGACUCUAAGUCACAAACCGGAUACGUGUAUAUGUUGAAUCGUGGAGCAGUAAGCUGGUGCAGUUGCAAGCAGAGCGUCGUGGCGGGAUCUACAUGUGAAGCGGAGUACAUGGCAGCCUCGGAGGUAGCGCAUGAAGCAAUAUGGAUGAAGGAGUUCAUCACCGACCUAGGAGUCAUACCCAAUGCGUCGGGGCCAAUCACUCUCUUCUGUGACAACACUGGAGCUAUUGCCCUUGCCAAGGAGCCCAGGUUUCACAAGAAGACCAGGCACAUCAAGCGUCGUUUCAACUCCAUUCGUGAAAAUGUUCAAGAUGGAUACAUAGAUAUUUGCAAAGUACAUACGGAUCUGAAUAUCGCAGAUCCGUUGACUAAACCUCUUCUGCGAGCAAAACAUGAUCAACACCAGAACUCUAUGGGUGUUCGAUUCAUCACAAUGUAACUAGAUUAUUGACUAUAGUGCAAGUGGGAGACUGUUGGAAAUAUGCCCUAGAGGCAAUAAUAAAAGGAUUAUUAUUAUAUUUCCUUGUUCAUGAUAAUUGUCUUUAUUCAUGCUAUAAUUGUAUUAUCCGGAAAUCGUAAUACACGUGUGAAUACAUAGACCAUAAUAUGUCCCUAGUGAGCCUCUACUUGACUAGCUCGUUGAUCAACAUAUAGUCAUGGUUUCCUGACUAUGGACAUUAGAUGUCGUUGAUAAUGGGAUCACAUCAUUAGGAGAAUGAUGUGAUGGACAAGACCCAAUCCUAAGCAUAGCACAAGAUCGUGUAGUUCGUUUGCUAGAGCUUUUCCAAUGUCAAGUAUCUUCUCCUUAGACCAUGAGAUCGUGUAACUCCCGGAUACCGUAGGAGUGCUUUGGGUGUACCAAACGUCACAACGUAACUGGGUGACUAUAAAGGUGCACUACAGGUAUCUCCGAAAGUGUAUGUUGGGUUGACACGGAUCGAGACUGGGAUUUGUCACUCCGUAUGACGUAGAGGUAUCUCUGGGUCCACUCGGUAGUGCAUCAUCAUAAUGAGCUCAAAGUGACCAAGUGUCUGGUCACGGGAUCAUGCAUUACGGUACGAGUAAAGCGACUUGCCGGUAAAGAGAUUGAACAAGGAAUUGGGAUACCGAUGAUCGAAUCUCGGGCAAGUAAAAUACCGAUUGACAAAGGGAAUUGAAUACGGGGUUGCCUGAAUCCUCGACAUCGUGGUUCAUCCGAUGAGAUCAUCGAGGAGCAUGUGGGAGCCAACAUGGGUAUCUAGAUCCCGCUGUUGGUUAUUGACCGGAGAGCCAUCUCGGUCAUGUCUACGUGUCUCCCGAACCCGUAGGGUCUACACACUUAAGGUUCGGUGACGCUAGGGUUGUAUAGAUAUGAGUAUGCAGCAAACUGAAAGUUGUUCGGAGUCCCGGAUGAGAUCCCGGACGUCACGAGGGGUUCCGGAAUGGUCCGGAGAUAAAGAAUUAUAUAUAGGAAGUGCAGUUUCGGCCAUCGGGAGAGUUUCGGGGGUCACCGGUAUUGUACCGGGACCACCGGAAGGGUCCCUGGGGUCCACCGGGUGGGGCCACCAAUCCCGGAGGGCCCCGUGGGCUGAAGUGGGGAGGGGACCAGCCCCUGGUGGGCUGGUGCGCCCCCCUUGGGCCCCCCCUCCCGCGCCUAGGGUUGGAAACCCUAGGGUGGGGGGGGCGCCUCCACUUGCCUUGGAGGGCACUCCACCCCCUGGCCGCCGUCCCCUUGGGAGAUCCCAUCUCUAGGGCCGGCUCCCCCCCAGGGGUCCUAUAUAAAGGAGGGGGAGGGGAGGGCAGCCGCACCCUGAAGUCUUGGCGCCUCCCUCCCCCCUUGCUACACCUCCUCCUCCCGUAGUCGCUUGGCGAAGCCCUGCCGGAACUCUGCUGCAUCCACCACCACGUCGUCGUGCUGCUGGAUCUUCAUCAACCUCUCCUCCCCCCUUGCUGGAUCAAGAAGGAGGAGACGUCACACUGACCGUACGUGUGUUGAACGCGGAGGUGCCGUCCGUUCGGCGCUAGGAUCUCCGGUGAUUUGGAUCAUGACGAGUACGACUCCCUCAACCCCAUUCUCUUAAACGCUUCCGCUCGCGAUCUACAAGGGUAUGUAGAUGCACUCCCCUCUCUUGUUGCUAGAUGAACUCAUAGAUUGAUCUUGGUGAACGUAGGAAAUUUUUAUUUUAUGCAACGUUCCCCAACACUUUGGUGAGGCGGUGAUGGUACACCUAGCGCCGGAUCCAUGCAUCAUUUGGGCGGACGCAUUGGAUUCCCCGCGGAAGGAGUUCGAGUGUUGCCGUUGCCAUCGGGCAGCCUCCUCCCGGGAGCGGUGGAGCGCAAGCUGGAUGGCCAGCUCCUCCUAGGAGCCGCGUGGGAUGAGUUCGGGGUUGACGGAUCUGGAGGUGUAACACUGGGAUCCGCCUCCUGCCAUGCCGAAGAAGGCCAUAAGAUCGUCGAACGGGAGCUUGGGUGGCGGCAUAGAGUGGAGUAAAGUGGCUAGGGUUUGGUCCGGCAAGCGGAUGGGGAGGAAUAUAUGUGGGGUCGGGUGGGCCAGCGUGGACCGGGACCGACAUGGCGGACGCGCCUGGGCGCCGCAUAUUCUUCCUAGAUUUGGGCUGGAUAUCAGGGGUGCUGGUUAGCUUGGGCGUUUGAGGCCCAUCUGGAUAGUUUUUCUGUGACCUGACCGUUCGUCCGGGCGUUUGAGGUGGGUUUGGGACGCCCAGGUGUAAAUGCUCUUAGACCAUGUAGUACCUUGAGGAGGAUGGUGGGUCCAUGGAACAACUACAGCCUCUCCAUUUUGUUUGGGCGCAGGGCGAUAACGGAGUUAUCUCUACUCCUAAAGAGGGAGUCGUUAGUCUCCCUUCCACGGUUUUUUUGUCUUACCUCCCAUCUUUGUUUCAUUUUUUCCGUCUCUUUUUCCACCACCGUCUGUUUUUUCUCAUCUCCACCUGGCAUGUAACGAAAAAAAAUCUGUUUCAUAGGUCGAUUGUCAAGGUCCGAGAGCCGCCGCCACCUUCAUUGCGGACCUCUAGGUCGCCGUCCGGACACACCGCCGAGGUCCGCAAUCACCGACGUUGAGGUCCGAGAGGAGCUGCCGCCCCCUUCAUUCUGGGCCUGGACGCUUCAUGGUCCUCCUACCUCUCCCUUUCCUCUCCCCUUCUCUCCCGCUUCCAUCCUCACUCGCCGCCCCUGCCUCUCNNNNNNNNNNNNNNNNNNNNNNNNNNNNNNNNNNNNNNNNNNNNNNNNNNNNNNNNNNNNNNNNNNNNNNNNNNNNNNNNNNNNNNNNNNNNNNNNNNNNNNNNNNNNNNNNNNNNNNNNNNNNNNNNNNNNNNNNNNNNNNNNNNNNNNNNNNNNNNNNNNNNNNNNNNNNNNNNNNNNNNNNNNNNNNNNNNNNNNNNNNNNNNNNNNNNNNNNNNNNNNNNNNNNNNNNNNNNNNNNNNNNNNNNNNNNNNNNNNNNNNNNNNNNNNNNNNNNNNNNNNNNNNNNNNNNNNNNNNNNNNNNNNNNNNNNNNNNNNNNNNNNNNNNUCUCUCUCUCUCUCUCUCUCUCUCUUGUUUCCUACCCCACUGGUUCUACAAUGCUGGUCGUCGCCUUGGGUUGGCGAACCUAGCUACUGUGGGUUGGGAUUCAAAUGCCACAUCAUCUUUGGGACGCGGCCGUGACGGCUUGGCCUGAUGCCUGCGAAGUAGGGCGAGCAGAGACAACAUGAGACUGCGCCGCUGUGCUGUUCGCCGUGACGCGCUGUCACGCUGUGUAGAUGGAGGAUGCGUGCCCAAGCCUUGUUGUGCCUGUCUUCCCGUGCGGUAGUCGGGAUCUGGACUGGAUCGGGGUUGAGUUCGACACCACCGAACCCCGGCUUCCAGGAGACCAGGCGCCUCCUCUCCUCAUCACCCGUCUCACCAGAGGCAUGUGCAGAAUUCCGUACACCAUCUGCGCAAACAUGGUGGUCGACGACGCUCUGGAUGUGGUCUACGUGAGGACUAGGUUCCAUCAUUAACAUGUACCCUGGCAAGGUAUGUGCUAUGGGAUGUAAACUCUCGAUUUUAUCUUCAUUUUAGUUGCCUUCAUCUCAUGCUUUGUUCGUUCCAUAGGCAUUUGUCAUGAAUCUAUUUUCAGGAGGGUGAUGUUAACGAUUUCAAAAACUUGAUAGCAGGGUAUGGCUAUAGUUAUUGGUCAUGCAUUAUCGCGAGGCUUGACAAGCAUACCAUAAAAUGGUUUUUAUUUAUGCUCUCGUAGGUUAAACCAAUCUCUGUCAUUAUGAAAUUGGCAUAGCUGAACAUGAUCAGGACUUCAGCAGGGCAGGGUCAUUACUUUGGAGUUUCAGCACUCAUAGUUGGUGAGUGCUUAUGUCCUAAAAUUUUGGAUGUGACUAAACAUAGGCUGGUAUGGCUAAUCUUUUUUGCUUUUCUGUCCUUGCUCUUCACGGAAUCUUCAGGUUUACGGAUUGAUAAUUGUGAUCUAUGUUUCAACCACUUCCCAAUGUUUUACUUGAUGAGAAGGUUCUAAUUUUAUUUUAUUUUAUUUCACUUGAUGAGAAGGGUCCAUGUUUCACCGACUUUGUACAAGUGUGUUUGCUUAGCUAGAUUUCUGCCCUUAUUUUCUAUUUGACAUCCCUCAAUCAUUUUCUGCAGAUUCACUUCGUUCGUAUUCUAUAUUGUUGUAAGUGCACCUAGGGAUAUUAUAGUAGUUCUUAUCUGCAGUUUACUACAACUGGUGACCACAUCUCCAUAUUAUUAUCUUUAAAAUGUACUUUCAAAAAGUAAACUAAUUAACGUUAACCUUCCGCUCUGUAGAAACCACAUAAUUUCAACUCAUUAAUCAUUUUUUAGCGGAAAGGCAGUAAUCAAUGAUGGCGAUUUAAACUGUACUCCUUAUAGUAUUGAUAUUCCCCAUGCACCGGUAUGUUCUCGUACAUCCGUGAAACUUCUGAGUCAAAAUGUUAUAUCCUUAUGUAUACAGUUCAUCAUUGGUUGUUACAGAAUUUCCCAGUGGGCACAACCUCAACCCACACCUCCCACCAGGAUCUUCUCUCUGCCGGAGCCAUCCUACCUGCAGCCAGCUCCCCCUCGUACGCCCUGAUCUCCACCUUGUGUGCUGGUCCAUUCAUCAUAGCUAGAAGGUAAUGACUAAUGAGCAUGUCAUCUCUGCCCCUCUCAAUUUCAUCCUUGUGUUGUUUAUUUUUCAGAGAAUGUGGUAUUAUGUAGCCCCUCUCUGUUGAUGAAUUGAAUGUAUAGAUUAUAUACUAGCAAAAGAGCCCGUGCGUUGCAACGGGAUAAUAAAACCGACGAAUUGUACUCGUGUGACUUGAGCUUUGGUUGGUUUCACACGCUUAUACUUCUUAGUUUUCUUGUAAAAUAAUAUGGCGGUAUUUAUACUAUUCAGGGUUGGUUAUCCAUCCGUCAGGUUAUUCAGGGCGUAAAUUUACGGAAAGAAGCAUAUUGUGACGGUGAAUGCGACGGAGUCAAUCCGUGCUUUAUUAUUUGGAAAAGAGAAAUAUGCCUAUGCAUUGCUACGGCUCUAGAAUAAACCUAUACAUGGUCAAAAUACAGGACAGCAACAUGUCUUCUUUUAGUUUUUUUCAAACCAUUAGAAAUAUGUUAGAUUUUACUUAAGUUUAGUUCCCUUAUUCCACCAUAAAGCAUUCCGGUUGAAAAGGAGAUGGCGUCUGUCAUUUACUUUCUAGAAAAACAUAGAGUCGAUAAACUUUCCUGUAUCUUCAGCCAUAGGUCCUUUACUCAUAUUUAAAAAAUUGUAAUAUUUAAUCCAAGCAAAAUUAUAUGAAUUACAGGAAAAAUUGUACUCAUGUGACUUGAGCUUUGGUUGGUUUCACACGCUCAUACUUCUUAGUUUUUUUGUAAAAUAAUACGGCGGUAUUUAUACUAUUCAGGGUUGGUUAUCCAUCCGUCAGGUUAUUCUUGAAGCUAGCUAGUAAUCACCAUGAGUUCAGUUGGCGUUCCAAGUAAUCACCAAGCCAAUCGACCGUGAGCAUCCGGACGUUAGCUGCGAAUGACAGACGGCUGGAUGGGCUAAUGAAGAUUAAACCUCAAUUUUGUACGCGGUAGUGCUGCAGACCUUCUGCAGUGAGACUUCGAUCAGAAGGACUUACCAGACAGGGGCACGGAGGAUUUAGAUAUCCUACUGCAGCUGCCGCUGCUCACCAAGGAGUUGCUCCCGUGCCGCUCGAAGGUCGCCAGCUCGGGGCAGAGCAGGAGCUUAAAGGCCAUGGACACGCCAGACCUGAAGGACGGCAGUGGCAAGGGUGGCGCAGGUGGGCGACGUUGCUCGCGCUCGGGGCGGACGCCGGCGGCGCUCGAUCUUGCCUAGAGCACGGAGGGGACAGGGGAGCAGGGGAAGAGGUAGGCAGUAAACCAGAUAGGAAUGGCACAUGUAUCGCAUCUGCCCUCGGCGGAGCUCCGCUCUGUCGUCAACAUCCGCGACGGACCCCACGAAGCCCAUCAUGUCGGCGUCCUUGAGGAACCGCCCCUGCUUGCCGCGGCCGACCGCAAUUUCGGAGAAAUUGGAGAUGGGGGAUCGUCCGCGGUUCGGCAACGGGUACGGGGAGGAGUCCGGGGCAAAGACUGUUCCGCUCGACCGGCCGGAGGAGCGCAGCCGCUCCGGUGGCCAGAGAUCGAGGGGGUGGCGGCGGUGUCCAACCCCCAACAGGCUGUGUUCUUUUUCUGACGGGACGAAAAAGGGGAAUCCCUUCUCUGGAACCGCUGUCGUUGCUCGACUGUGCUCCAAGCCGCCGCCGCCACCGCCGUCGCCUGAUUGCUCUCUCCCCGUCAACCCCCCCUCUCUCUCGAUCCAGCGACGCGUGUUUAGAUCGAAGCCCCCUGAAUUCCACGACCGAUCUGAUUCUAUCGAUCGAGGCAGCUCUGUUUCGAUUUGUAUAUGUACUUUUUAGGAGGAGUGUCCCGUGUUUGUUUCUGAUAGCCAUCUAUUUGUUUUAUGCUCAACAGGCCCAUUAGCCCUUGAUCUGGCCCAGGGAGUCUAGCGACCCAGGGAGUCUAGCGGGGAAGAGAGCGGGUGCGACCGAUUGGAUGCACACGACGUGGUUGGCCAUCUGAAUUAGUACCACCUUGAAUAUAUUUUAAAAUUAAAAUUGAAAACGUAAAAUCACGGAAAGAAGCGCAUUGUGACGGUGAAUCCGGAGACCCAAUCCAUGCUUUAUUAUUAGGGAGAGAUUACUAAAGAAAUCCGCCUUAAAAGGCGUUCCACUAAAAACGCAGUAGGAUCCUAUUUCAAGUUCCUUGCACUUAAACCGCAAAAGGGAAAGGCAAUUUUCCUAACUUUUCCCGUUAACGCAGAGCAGUCAGAUGAAUAACAGUAGGAUUGUUCAGUUUGUAUGCUCGUCCACUACUUCGGUUUAUUCAGGUUGCAUGAUACAGUAAUUUUGCAAAUGUGUCAGACUAUCUAUUUAGAUUAGCUAAUAGAAUUUAUUUCCACUAUGUGUUGUGCGGAGGAUAGAUCAGCAGGACUAAACAAUAUGUGUCUAACACCAUUUGCACAAUUCCCUUAAACUGCCCGCAGUAGCUGACCAAGUACCACCAAUGUUGUCAUCAGUCUUGAAGGGGAUUCAAAACCCGGUAGGAUCGCACACCGUAUGGCUUGGACAUCGGAAGAAGAUGCAAGAUUGGUAAUGAGAUUACUUGCCUCAGUGCUCAAUUUAUGAUCCUAUUCAUUUGAACUGAUUUACUUGUUUGUCUCAGCUAAUCUAUCCUCAAACGCAGACAACCAUUUGGUCGAAAACCUCAAAUGUUUCCAUCGAGAUAAUAACAAGAAGAACAUCAAGUACUGGGAUGACAUUGUUGUUACAACAAUAGUAAUAGGCCAAGUCACCGGAAGGGAGAUGCUCGUCGUGUAUGAUGGACAUGGUGGCUCGGAGGUGAGGUUAUCUUCUCUUGAAAAUCUUGACCUAGACAAAAGAAAUUAACCUUGAGGCCAUGGGAAGCAGGAAAGCGAAGGUCACGAAUGGCCGCACAAUUUGGUGGUGUUUGUGUGUUGUGCGGUCAAGCCUUUCUACGGGCUCCAUGGUGAUGCAGCAGCAUCACCUUCUUACGGAGAUGAGAUGAUGGGAUGAGGCCGCAUGGUGUUACCUAUUGUUGUUGUGUUAGCUUUGCUGUGUAUGUGUGCGUGUGAGAGAGAUCAGCGGCUGAUUGGGGAUGGUUAUGUUGUUGCUAGAUUAUAAAACAUGUCGUUUAAGUGAAUAUCAACUGUCGGAAAGAAAGCAAUGGUACUGUGAUUCUACUGUUUUAUGCUAGACGUUAAAGAAUACUACUUGCAAGCAGUUAGCGACGAACUGAGGGUUUGCAAGUAGUACUUUUUCCCAGUUGUGCUUCUACUUGCCUGAAUUUAAGUAGGAGAAAUUACCAGUUGUGUUUUUUUGAAAUAAUCUUGAUUUAACUAUGAUUUUCAGAAACUGGUACAGCUUUAACACGGUUCCUUGCUCACUGUGGUACAUUAAAACAAUAAAUUGAGGAGUUUAGAGCCUGCCUAGAGACCUCACAUAGCACCGCCUCAUUUGGCAGCGACAUCAUGAUGAUCUUGUCUGGUCUACUCCAAGUCUCCGCUUGUGGUUUGUGUUGGAAAUAUGAGCAAUUUACCGAAUGAUUUUAUUAACAAAAAUACUAGAUAAAGCAUGACUAAAAUAGGAAAUAUAAAGAAAGUCAUGCAGUCUGACAGAGAGAAGGUAAACAUCGUCUGCAUAAAUGAACUUGAGCUAAACACAUCUAGAACAGACAAUAGAUGAAGUUGCUCAUACGAAACAGAACCUAACAUACGUAGGGCAGAAACUAGAGCCAAGAACUGUAGCAGGACUUCUAACAGAAAGGAGAAGAACACGUACGGCAUAGCAGCAGCAGAAGAGCUGGACUUGGGGUCAGUGUCCUCGCCUGCCAUGUCGUCGAGGAGGUCGUGGACGUCGGGGAAGAAGUCGUCGUCGGGGAAGUAGUCGUCGGCGACCGGAUCGUCUGUGAUGAAGCAGCCAGUAGUCGCGCUGAGCGCUUCCCAAAAACCUUAUCACCCUUCUCCCGUACAUGACUCAAAAGGUGCGGUCUCUGAGGCCUACUGUCCCAACAUGCGGUGCACGCCGCAAGUCGGGAUGAGGAAGACAGCAGCAGCUCAGAGAUGGAACCGAUGGCGAGGGAAGGAGCAGUUCUGGUGCGUAUCUCUGAAAGGAGCGACCUCCCUUUUAUAGGCGCAAGAGAAGGAGGCGAGAGGCUGCGCCGGGAGCUGAAGGGAAUGUGGGAGACGAAACGAACAAGCAGCAGCUGAAGGGGCGCGCCGUUCGGAUUCAGUGUCCAGGCACAGAAAAAAACUGUUUCAGCUUCCGAGUGACCUUUCGUAUACACGUAGUGCGUGGCAAAACUUUAGACAUCGGCUCAUUCCCGCAACCCGCGGCGUGACGAGGCGGGCGGCGGAGGAGGAGCGCGCGUGGAUGUCCCUCUUGUUCUCAUGCUCAUACAAGUGGGGAAGGAGUCUCCCUUAUAAAGAGGUCCAACUCCCUCUAAACUAGCAAGGUGGGACUAAACUUUAGUUCCACCUCUUACCUUGCAUGAAUGGGCUGCGUGGGCCUCUAGGAUUUAUUAGGAAUUUCUGAAACUGCUAUUGGGCUAGGCCCAAAUAGACAAAAAUUCCAGCAGUUUGUGUUCUUUAGGUCUAUGGAAAACACCACGGUGCAUGCCAUUGUCCGUCAUUUCGGGAAAAAUGACCUAGAACAUGCAGAUAACUAAAUUUGGUGAAAGAACUGAAGAAAUCUACUACAUCACAAUAUGAAUUAAAAACAAACAAAAAAUUGGGCAGGACCUCUACAUAAAAAUGGACAGUUAUAGAAAUUUAGCGAAACGGAAAUAAAUCAACGGUUUGCCAAAAAUUUAACGCUUAUAGUAUGAAUCCCAAUAAGGAAAUGAAGACAUCUACUACAUCACAAUAUGAAUAAAACAUAAACAAAGAAAUUUGGCAUGACCUCUGCAUAAAAAUGGACAUAUUAAGUGAUUGAGAUCUGGCGAAACAGAAAUAAAUCAACGUAUCGCCAAAACUUUAGCACUUAUAGUAAGUAUACCUAUAAUGAAUUGAAGACAUCUACUACAACAUAUUAUUUAACUCAGUAUGAACAGAAAUAAUGUACGGAAUAAUACAAUAUAUAUGUGAGACUAUAUAAUUACCUCUAAUAUGAACAAAUUGGUAUUCCUUGUUCAUGGUUACGUAUGUGGCUGCUGCAACUAUAAUUGUUUUGAUGUGUGUGCCUUAAAAACUAUAGAACAAGAAACUACAACUAUAAAUGAACUCUAGUAUGAACAAAUCGAACUCAUUAACGAAUAUGAACACAUUAAUAGCAAUAACCCUAACCCUAGUCGAACGUACGUGUGCGUGUGCGUGGCGGCCGUGGCCGUGGGUGACAAGGAGGAAAGCCGGAGAGGGAGGCGCGGACGACAAUGUAUUACUGGAUGGAGCGGAGGGUGACGGGGCGGAUCGUCGGUGAGGGCGACGGGGCGGCGAAUCGAGGGCGAGGGAGACGCGCGGUGAACGGCUAGGGCGGCGACGAGUAAGCGGUGCUGAUGGCGGCAGCGGACAGGGACGACGACUUGGGUAGCAUGGAUGAGCCAACGGCGUCCGCGACGAGAUGGGGAAGAGUGGGAGUGAGAGAGUAAAUUGGGGUAGGAGGAGAGGGGGCACGUGCGUGUACGUAGGUCGAUUGAGUUUGUCGUAUGCGACCGGUGUGCCAAGCCUCCCAACACGGCUUCUUUGGGGUGGUGGGCGGAAAACCGAUUCGAUUUGGGGCAGAAUAGACAGCUAACUUAGUUGUGGCGGGUAGGGGCCCAUACCCGCCAGAGCUAAUAUCUGUAUAAAAUUUAUUUUUCUGGCGUGCAUUGCUGGCACUAAACUGUGGCCGGCCCAAUCGAGCGUCCGCCACUUUUGCAUUCAAGAACAAUGGCGGCCGAGGCUAACACCCGCCACUGAUCGCAUUCAUCAGGUGGCCAUACUCAGUGGUGCUUACUUGUGGCGGGUGGUGUUCUCCACCCGCCACUGCUACGCAUGUAACUCUGGAGGUCAUGUUGUGGCACCUGCCACUGGUACUUUUGCUAACUAGCAGUGGCAGGUGCUAUGUCCCGCCCGCCAAUCUUUCGAAUUCACCUAUAAGCCCUUUCCCAGUAGAGUAAUAAAGGACUUCUUGACAAGUCCGUGUAGAUUAAAGGUAUGUUAGUAGAUGGUGUAAUAAAUACAUGCUUUAGUGAUCUAAGGAUACAAAUAUGCCACUAUUUAUUUUGUAAAAGGUCGAAAUCAUUCUUAGAAAUCUUAGUAACAACAGUUCUCAUGAACAACUUUGACAAAAUGCAUCAAAUGUUACAAAUAAUACAUACAAACUUAGUUCAAUAAAUUAAUCAAUUGAAGUGAGAACAAACCUAAAUGUACUUAGAGUAAAUCAAUUAAUACGUGUAAAGCCAAUACUAAUCCAAUAUUUAUUAAUAAAUUUGCAUAGAAUUACAACCCUUUGACAUAGAAAGGGAAUAUGAUGAGUCAUGUAUAGAUAACUUGCACAACAUUCCUACCCUUGGCAUAAAAGGAGAAAUUGAUGAGUCAUGUAUUGAUAAUGUGCACAACAUCACUACCCUUGACAUAAAAGGAGAAUUUGAUGAGUCAUGUGUUGAUAACGUGUACAACAUUACUAUCAGUAUGUUCAACUUACCAUCAUAUUAUACAACACUACAAGUUAGUUUUAAAAAGAACAAGAGUCCAGAACGAAGAUCAGAAUACUUGCUUGAUCUAUCUUAACAACAUGCACUAGGACAAAAAUUUAGUCCCACGCAAGCUAUGAAGAUUUGUUUUAUGUAUAACUAUUUGUACAACAUGACAAACUUAGAUCCAAAAGGAAUGCAAUCCAGAUAAUUGUUUGACAUGUAAAGUGAAUAAGAUGAGUCAAUGCCAAUUAUCAAGUUUUCCUCACUCUUAGAUGAUAUGUACAAUAAAAAGACAACUUUGAUGAUCACUCUGAAAUUACGUUUGUAUGUAGUGCCACCAAACACAACAUCCCAAAUAUUAGUUUGAUAAGCAUCAAAUCACUUUUGAAAAAAGAAAGCAAUAAUGAAAAGAAACCUAACCAAGAUAGCUAUAAAAAGGCCUGCAAUAUGUAGACUCCAUACCAUCAUCCAUCCUUCACACACCUAGAGCACAAAUCAGCAAAUCCAAGUACGUAGUAGUUAACGCAAAUCGACCAUGAAGACCUUACUCAUCCUGACGAUCCUUGCGAUGGCAAUAACCAUCAGCACCGCCAAUAUGCAGGUCGACCCUAGUGGCCAAGUACAAUGGCCACAACAACAACUAGUCCCCCAACCCCAACAGCCAUUAUCCCAGCAACCGCAACAAGCAUUUCCCCAACCCCAACAAACAUUUCCCCAUCAACCACAACAACAAGUUCCCCAGCCUCAGCAACCACAACAACCAUUUCUCCAGCCCCAACAAGCAUUCCCCCAACAACCACAACAACCAUUCCCUCAGACUCAACAACCACAACAACCAUUUCCCCAGCAACCACAACAACCAUUUCCCCAGCAAUCACAACAACCAUUCCCCCAGACUCAACAACCACAACAACCAUUUCCCCAGCAACCACAACAACCAUUCCCCCAGACUCAACAACCACAACAACCAUUUCCCCAGUUCCAGCAACCACACCAACCUUUUCCCCAGCCCCAACAACAAUUCCCGCAGCCCCAACAACCGCAACAAUCAUUCCCCCAGCAACAACGACCGUUCAUUCAGCCAUCUCUACAACAACGUUUGAACCCAUGCAAGAAUAUCCUCUUGCAACAAUGCAAACCUGCGUCAUUGGUGUCAUCCCUCUGGUCGAUAAUCUGGCCACAAAGCGAUUGCCAAGUGAUGCAGCAACAAUGCUGCCAAGAACUAGCACAGAUUCCUCAGCAGCUCCAGUGCGCAGCCAUCCAUAGCGUCGUGCAUUCCAUCAUCGUGCAGCAGCAGCAACAACAACAACAACAACAACAACAACAACAAGGCAUGCAUAUCCUGCUGCCACUAUCUCAACAACAACAGUUGGGUCAAGGUACUCUCGUCCAAGGCCAGGGCAUCAUCCAACCUCAGCAACUAGCUCAAUUGGAGGCGAUCAGGUCAUUGGUGUUGCAAACUCUUCCAACCAUGUGCAACGUGUAUGUCCCACCUGAGUGCUCCAUCAUCAGGGCACCAUUUGCCAGCAUCAGGGCAUCAUCAGGGCACCAUUUGCCAGCAUAGUCGCGGGGAUUGGUGGCCAAUGAAAAAAGCAAGAUCUAUACUAAUAGAUAGAUGGAUCAUCGUUACUUAGCAGAUGCACCAAUCGAUGUAACGAUGACAAAUAAAGUGGCGUGCACCAUCAUGUGUGACCCCGACCAGUGCUAGUUCAAGCUUGGGAAUAAAAGACAAACAGAGUUCUUGUUUGCCAGCAUUGCUUGUCAUUGUUCCAUUCACCAUGUAUUUAGAUGUUCAUCCCUAACCGCAGUUCUAGGCUUACACAUCAACAGCUAGUUGCUUGUGCCGGCAGGUUCCUAUGUAAUCUACCGAUUAAUGGUUGACCUAUUAAUCCAGUUUAUAGGCCGAUUGAUCUAUUAAUUGCUGCUCCCAAACUGACCGACCAGCUAUCAGUUACCAUUUUGCUGAACAUUGCACACAGUAAUAACUCAACGUAUUUUAAUGUCUAGAAGUAAAAGGGCCAUUUUAGCAGCAAAACAAGCGCCUGAUUAGGAACCAUCCAUCACUUUAAAUGUUCACCAAGAUAUUUUUGCGUUGGUGCAAUUUUGAGAUUGGUGGCACCGAAACAUUCCUCAAAGCAAUUCUUUAUGGGACUCCAAAGAGGUGAAAAUAAAGUAAAGUUGCCACAUGGUAAAAUAUAAAUCAUGCGGCGAGCAAGAGAAAAUAUUGAGUUACGAUAGCAAGCGCCAAACAUGCCAUUAAACUCUUCAUAUGGUUUCGUGCAGAGAGGGGGGAUUUAGAGAUGACAAACAAAGCUUAAGUAGCAUCGGUUCUGAUUGUAGAAAUUUCUUUUACCUAUAGAAUAACUCGGUUGUUAUUUCUUUAACAAUGUAGUGUGAUAUUAACUUAUCUCAAUCUAGGAACACAAAGCAAAUAUUACAUGUGCUUCUAUGGAUUCCAAGCAGAUGAGAAAUCAUAUUGUGUAGAAGUUCAUUAGAAGGAUAUAAUAGUUUUGACCUAAACAAAUUUACUAUUGUACUCGUGUCUUAGAAAAUUAAAGCUGAAAAUCAACAUAACCAUUGGACACUUCGAAAGACAAGUGUGGGAAAUAAAUAGUAGGAUGUAAAUUUGAGUAGAGUGUUUGAUCAAAUAUUGAACAAAUAACCCACAAACUACUAAAACUCAUCUAUUAAUUCUACCAUAUAUGAACUGUCACAAUGAUAAAGCUAUGAUUUUUUUGACAAAUAUGUAUCCUAGAACUAAUACAAGUUCAAACAAAUCAGCCACAGAUCCCCGAGCCCAUCCAACCAGAUAGCUGAAACUGAAAGAAGCAUUAGCUUGAUUAGAGCACCUACAGCCUAACUUGACAAAUUUGACCCCAGAAACGCUCGCGGACGCGCCCGGUAGUAACCGGUCACGCCUAAAAUAUUUCAUUCUACAACCAGAUACCUCAAAUUAGAAACCUCAAAUCCAUAUUAUUACAUGCAACAUAAAUCGAUCUUUAAGCAGAGCACGUCCGGUGAUCGAAUGCUCUCCGGAGUGUUGGUCCAGUCACCGGCAAGUUAGAGUAGGGCAUGGGAUACGAGGCGGGUCACGGGACUCGAGGCGCCACCGUCCCCCAUUCCCAACUCUUCUCCAUCGGAACCAGGACGGUGCCGGUGGACGUCAGAUCGAUGAUGGAUCCUUCCUGGGAUGAGCCAUCAACAUCGACCACCACGUGGUUGCGGUGCCCGGACUAGUGCACAAUAUGGGGAGCCGAAAAAUACGACUUUGCCUUCGCAACGACCACCACCGCGAGGGCUGUCGCCGCCUCCCGCACCCGCUGCCUUGCAUGGCAGGAGCGCCGAACUAUGUUUUGCGUCGGGCGGUGCCCAUGGUGUGUCCAUGGCCUCAGCACGCCAAUGGAGGGGCUGUGCGUCUGCCACCCAUUUGAACGCUAGAUGGACCGCACCACCUCUGGUGAGGCAGUGAUGGUACACCUAGCGCCGGAUCCAUGCAUCAUUUGGGCGGACGCAUUGGAUUCCCCGCGGAAGGAGUUCGAGCAUUGCCGUUGCCAUCGGGCAGCCUCCUCCUGAGACCGGCGGAGCGCAAGCUCGAUUGCCAUCUCCUCCUAGGAGCCGCGUGGGAUGAGUUCGGGGUCGACGGAUCUGGAGGUAUAACACUGGGAUCCGCCGCCUGCCAUGCCGAAGAAGGCCAUAAGAUCGUCGGACGGGGGCGGCAGGGAGUGAAGUGAAGUGGCUAGGGUUUGGUCCGGCAAGCGGAUGGGGAGGAAUAUAUGUGGGGUCGGGUGGGCCAGCGUGGAUCGGGACCGACAUGGCGGACGCGCGUGGGCGCCCCAUAUUCUUCCCAGAUUUCGGCUGGAUAUGAGGGGUGUUGGUCAGCUUGGGCGUUGAGGCCCGUCUAGGUCAUUUUUCUGUGACCUGGCCGUCCGCCGGGGUGUUUGAAGUGGGUUUGGGACACCCGGGUGUAAAUGCUCUUAGACCAUGUAGUACCUUGAGGAGGAUGGUGUGGGUCCAUGAAAGAACUACAGCCUUUCCAUUAUGUUCGGGCGCAGGGCGAUAACGAAGUUAUCUUUACUCCUACAAGGGGAGUUGUUAGUCUCCGUUCCAUGGGUUUUUUUGUCUCACCUCCCAUCUUCGUUUCAUUUUUUCCGUCUCUCUUUCACACCGUCGGGUGGAGCUUAUGUGUCAUACUCCGUGACCUUUCAUUAGUUUUCUAGAGAGAAUCCUACUCUCAUAGAUUGCGACGUUUAACAAUCAGACUCAUAUAGGUGUGUUCUUCAAAAGAUGUUCUGCAGGACAACAUCUCUCCUUCAAAAAGCCACUUAGAACACAUUAAGAUAUACAUCAACCUACCAUGCAGAUUAGGAGAGUAUUGCAUCUUCAUGGAGUGGUAUUUUAACAAUAAGGAUACACUACUAGGGAAAAGGCUAGCAGCAGCGCGGGUUUUUGGUGUAUCAGUAGCGCGGGGUGGGGCGCUACUAAUAAGGCGCUACAGCUAACAUAUAGCAGUAGCGCGUGGUCACCGGCGCUACUGCUACACAAGUGUAGCAGCAGCGCGGUUACUGGGAGCACGCUACUGCUAGUAGCUCUAGCGCCCUUUGCAGCAACGCGCUACUGCUAUAGAGGCGCUGCUGCUAACUUCUAUACACUCGCUACUGCUAAUUUAACAGGUUUUUUGUUUUUUUGGGCAUAUUUGUUUUGUAUUUGAACAGGCUUUAUAGAAGAAUCUUUAGCACAUAGAAAUGUCAUCAUGAUACACAUACAAAUGCCUGCGAGACCACGAAUAUAAUCAUAGCAUAUACAUACAAAUAGUCUCAUCAUAAUCAUCAUCCAACACAAAGUGGUCUCUCGUCAUCAUCUCGAAAAUAGCGAUACAAGUCCUUGAUUACUUGCAAAUACAUUGUCAUCCAUCUAAACAAUGGUAUACGCGAGAAGAGCUAUCACUUUGAGAACAUGAGUUCGUAUCCCUCUCUCGCAUUAGCGUGAACCUAAACUAACUACUGCCUGUCGCUCGGAAACCGGAAACCGGCAACACCUGGGUCUGACACUCCGGUCACUCAUCGUAUAUAUACUCCUGGCGUAGCACUUCUUCGCCAUCGAUGAUCUAUGCACCUGCAUCAUCACAUGAGUAGAUGAUAUGCAACAUAUAUAGUUGAGCAACAGAAAGAGACAGACUUGACAAAAAUAGAAACAACGUAUCAUAAGCAUAAAUAACAAAGUUCAUCAUAACCAAAAUGCCCUAACUAGAGUGAUCUUCGCUAGUCGAGGAGGAGGACGGUUUAAUUACAUCACAAAUAAAGUUUUACUGCGCAUAACUCAAAGUUUUGUCAUACAGAAAGUAUGGAGUAAACAGACACAUUGUCAUAUAUUGACAAUCACUCCAACAUGCCGUGCCAUCCAUCGAGGUCAGGGAGAUAGUCCCCGAGCUUAGUGAAAGGCUUCAUGUCGAGACGCUGAGAGGCUAUCCAUGUUCGGACGUCUUCCCACAACAUUUUUCCUCCGUAGAACAUCCCUGUUUUUCCGACGACCUCUUUCAUGAUGAUUUGGGCAAGUUCGCGUUGGAUGUUAUAGAACUCAGCUCGAAGUCGAUGAUCCUCGAUAUCUCCUAUGUCCUUUGCCCAUUGCAGAAUAUGGGCAUCGCCAGAUCUAGGUGACAUGUGAAGGUUCUGGUGAUCCCGUUUGUACUCCCGCAUGUGGUGUAGGACAUAGAAUCCACCAUUAAGAGAAUCGUUCGGUUGUUGGAUGCAGCAGAAGUCGGUCUUAUGGCUGAAGGCGGCCCUGCCGCCCCUUCUCUUCUUGUCCCUAACCUCUCCACCCCUUGCUUGGUAGUAAAACAUAGCACUGUCGAGAACAUCUUUGAUGUGGGUGUAAUCCUUUUUGUGAAUGUUAUUCGAUGAGUCCAAGUAAAGAGCAUGGGAGAAUCGGGGGUAGAGGAUGAUGAGGACGGCGCGCCCGCCGCUGCGCAAAAUAAGUACACCUCAAAUUAAUUAGCCUUCACCGUGCAAAUGAAUUAUUGAAAUCGAAGGAAGGAUAGCAGCGCGGAUGACUUACACGGGAUGAUAAGGCACGAGAAUCGCCUCCUUGUCCUUAUUGGCGAGCAUGAAACUAACGAUGUAAUUCCUCGCGUAUUCACGCUGCUCUGCACAGACUCCCAAGAAGCUCUCGUGCAUGUAGUACGGGUCAGUGACACAGAUAUGACGUAUCUGCUCAACCCCAAUGAUGUAGUUCAUGUGCAAGGCAUAAAGGCGGACAAAUGUAAAAUCCAGCUUCUUCACGUGAAACAUGUCGAAUAUGUAAUCGAAUCGGAGGAAGAACUUAUCCGCAGCGAAGCUGUCGACGUAUGACAUUUUCCGCGGAACGUUAUCCACGUAGAGUGGGUAUCCUGGAUCUUUCGAGGCAAUGAGGCAUUUCUCUACCCGUAGCACAUCAUCAUGAAGUCUCCUUAGAUCGCCGAAUCUGGCCCGUAGCGCUGUUGCAGGUAGGAUUGGUUGACCGGGGAUAUGCCAUUUAUCCGCAUCGGGGAUAUCUAGACGGUCCUGAAGCUGAGGCUGCUGAGGCGGCUGGAUCAUAGAAUCAACUUUUUUUCCUUUCCUCGCUCUCUUCCUAGACUUCUUUACUACCGGAAAGUCGUCAAUAACACAUUGAGACGGUAAUUCAGGCACCGACUCAUGAUGCUCAAACCCUGAGGAGGCGCCAGUAUAGACAUACUGUUCAGCGCCAUCGUCAUCCUCAUCCUCAUCCAUGGCGACGUCAUCAGCGACUAAUGGAGCCUCCUCCUUACCCCGUCCGCUAUCACCCAACCCGACACCCAACGCUAAUUGGGUAGGUGGGGUGUUGAUGUUCAUACCUUGCUGAGACUGCGUGCUCGUGGGUGUGCUCCCGGCCGCCUCCAGACGAAGCAGACUCUUUGGCCACAACAGGACCUACCCAUUGCAACAAUCACCAAGCCGCUGCGGUGUCUCCUCGUCAUCCACCAAUAGUGUUGGAGGAGGCAAAUUCUCGUGGCCCGGUUCGACACUGGCCAUGGAAACCUUGAAGACGUUUGGGGGAAUCGGCCGGCUGUGGAACAAUGGUUCCUUCGGCUUCAUUAUCGUCGCCUUCCCCAUGGCCACCUUCUGGUCCCCGAUGGUGUACAAUAUGGUGCGCGGGGUUUCGUCGGCCUGCAAAGAGAAGUCUGCGACGUGAGACAUUCGAAAGGCAACGAAAACGGGAGAUUAUACAUUUAUAUUGAAGGGGGCCGGUGUGACAGAUACCGUGAGGGCGUCGAGCUCAGCCAAAGACAAAGCACCGCCGAGCACGUCCGGUGCGGGAGCCGGUGCGGGAGCAGGUGCUCCCAAGAAGUCAGCAAGGGGAAAGUCCUCUGCAUUUUUUUCUGGAUUUUUCCUUGUCCAAGUGAUAACGCCCGUCACCAAGGAAGUAGACAAAUCUGCAACCGCCUGUUUUGCGGCAGCUACCGCUGUUGCGACUGUCUGAGAUGAUUUCUUCUCAACCGCAAUCUCAACCUUCUUGUCGAUGUUUUUUUCAGUUAACCUCCGUCUUUCCUUUCUCUCCUCUGUGGUCUCCCGGUAGUACUUCUUCCACGUGGCGCCGUCUCCGACACCGUGCACGCGUCCAUACGAUGGUCGAGUAUCCAUCGGUUGUCGUUUCAAUAUGUUCAACGUCCGGUUGAAUGGAGUGUCCCACUUGGGCCUCGCCAAUGCCUCAGACGGCGAGUCGUUUUCGACCGCAAUCCGGUGCUGCUCUCUCUGCAAAAGGCACAAGGAUCGUUUACAAAUAUGACUAACGUGUGCAGUCGAAUUGAUCAGAAACUAAAAUUACCAGCAGUCUCAUGAACUCCGUAAUGACCGGUGUUGUCUCAUAAACCUUCUUCACUGGGUCCCAACGGUGCCGAGCCCUCAGGACGUCACGCUCCUGCGGGACAGUGAAAUCCGCCAAGGGGUCUGGGAUGCCCAGACUCGCGGCUUCCGCGUCCUCCUUGGCCCAUUUGGACCUCUUUCCGCCGUAACCACGCUUCCGAGGUGGUGGCUCCCAAUGUUCCUCUUUUGAAGCCCCUUCAUGUACUUAGACUUUUUUUGGCAGCUUCGGCCUCGCAAGCCUCCUUGAAUAUUUGAAACUGCUCUUCCGUGAUUGUCAGAUUAUCCUUUACAAUCUCGGAGUAGGGUUCCCCGUCGUUGAUCUUUGCUUUCACUCAAUUUUUCCAGGCGGCCAACGCGUCGCUAAACUUGGUCAUGGCGUGUUUGUUUAUCUUCUUCAUUGCGGGGUCCUCGUCUGGAUCUUCAUAAUCCUUCUCAUUCCGGCCCGGGAACAAGAAUAUCUGGUGAAACUUCUUUAGAAGGGAGCUCCUCAUAUUUUCUAUCUUCUAUAGUUUCUCAUCAUUGAUGGUGGCGGUUGUCCGUAUGAUGCAGCCUAUUUGAUUGCCGUAGCACGCGCGCGCUUCCUCGGGCGCCUUUGGCUCAAAAUUGCCGUCGUCCACCUCUGUGACCACCAGUCUAGUAGUCCUGAGUUUGUUAGGAACCCGUUGCUUCUUUGCGUUCGGUUCUACACCAGCUCCGCUCCCCGAGACAGCACCGGUCUCAGCGCCGCUCUCGAUGCCGGUCUGAAUCUCAGCGCCGGUCUCAGUCUCAGCACCGGUCUGCGUGUCGGUCUCAGUCCCCGAUGCCACUGGUGGGCCCAGCAACAACAUCGGUUGAUCGUCGGUAAGGCUAAAAUAUUCAUCUGCCACCAGGUAGACGUCGUCGCAAUCACCAGAACCCUGUCCUUCAUCGUUGCUAGCCAUGUUUCCUAUCAUUAAAUCUAGUCAAUUAAUUCUAGACCUAAUAAAAUGAAUAAUGACAUAAAAAAGGACUAUUGUUUUGCAGGAAUGUUGACUCCUUCCUGGUGCGGAAAAUCCCGGCACUCGAUAUGUCCUAGUUUGUAGCACAAGUCAUGCCGAAAUUCACGGAAAAUUUUGGCAUGGCCUUUGCUAAAAAGUGGACAAAUCGAGAACCUGAAAUUUGUCGGAACAGAAAUGAAUCAACAUUCCGGCAAAACAUAGGCCACUCAGCAUCAUUCCCUGGAAACAACAAAGCCACUUGGGCACAAUCGAACAACUUCAAUGAAAAGAUAUAACAUGAGCAAACACUAUUGAGGAAUUUGCAUAUAACAUGGCCACUUCAAUGAAAAGAUAUAAUCAACAAUAACGGAAUAUGCAAAUGAACAUCAAUGACAUAUAGCUACUGUUCUGUUUGACCAAGUUUUUGAAAAGAAAAACAAUUCUGUUUUUUGUUUAUAGCUAAAUGCCAUAGCUACUAUUUUUUAUUUAUAGCUAAAUACUUUUGUUUUUUGUCUAAAGCUAAAAGUCUAGGAACUACAUUUUCUCUAACCCUUUUGACCUCACCAGAAUUUUCACAGCAAGACCUUAGUACCUACACCCAAUUUCUUCAAAAAUAUUCAGGUCCAUAGUCCAAAUAAUUCAAAUUUCAUUUGAAUGAAAUUUGGAACAAAUUCAGGUCCGUAGUCAAAAUAUUUUUUUAUAGCUAAGUGUUUUUUGUUUAUACCCUCUGUUAAUUUAAAUCUAAAUGCUACUAUUAUUUAUAUACCCUCUAUUAGUUUAAAGCUAAAUGGAAUUACUGUUUAGGAAUUUUCAUAAAAAUUGCCCUAGCUAAUUUCCUAAAAAAAUUGCAAAUCAUUUUUCCUAAAUGCUAUAAAAUGCCUACUGCCCUAAAAAAAUCUAGGGUUCAUAUGAACACCUAGGGUUCAUAUGAACAUCAACACAGUAUCAACAUAUAUAUAUAUAAUUGCCCUAGCAGAGAGAAAUAGGAGGGUAGGGACAGGAGAGGCAUAGCCUUACGGUCGGCGUUGAGGGCAGGCUCUGGCUCGGGCAGCGGCGGUGAGGUCAAGGGCGGCGGCGGCGAGCUCGAGGGAGGCGACAGUGAGGUCGACGGUGACAGCCUCGGGUGGCGGCUGUGAGGUCGAGGGGGCGGCCUCGGGCGGCGGCCUCGGGCGGCGGCAGUGUGGUCAAAGGCGGCGGGCGGCGGCGGUGUGGUCGAAGGCGGCCUCCGGCGGUGGCGGUGUGGUCGAAGGCGCGCGGCAGGGCAACGGCGGCGAUGAAGCAGUUGGGGGACAGGGGGGAGUAGAGAGGGGGGAAAGGACUUAGCAAAAUUUUGAGCCAGGGCCGCCGGGAUUUGAGUCAAACUAGCAGCAGCGCGUUUUGACGAAACGCGCUAUAGCUAAGAUAGCUAUAGCGUGUUCCAGAGAAAUGCGCUACAGCUAACCCUUUCUGUUUUCUUUCUCUUUUUAUUUUGUUUUCUUUACAUUUUCUUUUUUUCAUUUCUCCUUUUUCUAUUUCUUUCAUUUUCAUUUACUUUUCUACUUAAUUUUCUAUUUAUUUUCCUUUACAUAGCAGUAGCGCUGUAAAGAAGAAACGCGCUGCUACAAUGUUUUUAACAGUAGCGUGCUUCUGGGAGAAGCGCUGCUACUAUUCCUAGCCUACCGGCACCAGUGAGAGAAUUUUAGUAGUAGCGCUUUUUUGUGGAGAAGCGCUACUACUAAAAUAAUGAUUGUAGCGUGGUUUUGCAACAAGCGCUACUACUAAGUAGCGCUAGCGCCGAGUUUUGACCAACGCUACUGCUAUACCUCUGUGUAUAGCAUUUUCCCUAGUAGUGAUACUCUCCUCUCAGUUGACCAACAGCUUGUCUUCCACAUCUAAUUCACGGGAUCUCCGAUCACAAAGAAUGGGUUACCACUGUGGACACCUCAUAUUGUGGGUCUCAUUCCCAUCUCCAUCGAUGCAUUAUCUAUCACAUUACGUGAUAGACCCUUAGUAAAAGGAUCUGCCAGAUUUUUAGACGUUUGGAUAUAAUCCAAUGCAAUAACUCUCGAGUUUUUCAUUUUUCUGACAGACUUUAACCUUCUCUGAACGUGUCUUGAUGACUUCAUGUUAUCCUUUGAGCUGCUCACUUUAGUGAUCACAGUUUGAUUGUCACAGUUCAUCCGGAUACCCGGUACAGGUUUCUCAACUACCGGUAAGUCAUUCAAGAGCCGACGAAGCCAAUCUGCUUCGACCGUAGUUGUAUCUAGUGCUGUGAGUUCUGCUUCCAUUGUUGACCUCGUUAAAAUGGUCUGCUUGCAAGACUUCCAAGAAACAGCGCCACCUCCAUGAGUGAAUACAUAACCGCUCGUGGCCUUUAUCUCAUCAACAUCUGAGAUCCAGUCUGAGUCAAUAUACCCUUCAAGCACCUUUGGAUGCCUAGUGUAGUGAAUUCCAUAAUUUGCAGUGCUUUCAAAUAACGCAAAACUCUCUCUAGAGCUUUCCAAUGCACAUCUCCUGGUUUUGAGACAAACCGGCUCAGUUAGCUAACAGCAAAAGAGAUGUCAGGUCUCGUAGCACUGGCUAAGUACAUAAGCGAGCCAAUAAUGUGUGAAUAUUCCAAUUGGUCUCUAGCAAUUCUUCGAUUCUUUCGAAGCAACACACUAGCAUCAUAUGGUCUUGGAGAGGGCUUGCAGUCACUGUAGCCAAAGCGACUCAAGAUCUUUUCCCCAUAGUGAGACGGAAGCAAUGUAAUCCCACCAUCAUCAUCUCUCAACAACUUGAUGUUCAGAAUGACGUCAGCCACUCCUAAAUCCUUCUUCUCAAAACAGCGAGAUAGGAAAUCCUUGACCUCCUUAAGAACAUUUAGAUUUGUUCCGAAAAUCAGUAUGUCAUCAACAUACAAGCAAAGCAUAACUCCCUCGCCCCCACCAUGGCGAUAGUACACACAUUUGUUAGCUUCGUUCACAACAAAGCCUGCAGCUGUUAAAGUUCUUUCGAACUUCUCAUGCCACUGUUUGGGUGCUUGCUUGAGUCCAUACAAAGACUUCAGCAACUUGCACACUUUCCCUUCCUAACCAUCUAUUACAAACCCAUCUGGUUGUUCCAUAUAAAUUUCCUCAUCCAACUCUCCAUUUAGGAAAGCAGUCUUAACAUCCAUUUGAUGAACGAGAAGACCAUGUGAGGCAGCUAGUGAAAGUUUAACUCGAAUAGUGGUCAGUCGAGCCACAGGUGAGUAAGUAUCAAAGAAGUCUUCACCUUCCUUUUAGGUAUAACCCUUUGCCACGAGCUGAGCCUUGUACUUUUCAAUAGUACCAUCAGGCCUAAGUUUCUUCUUGAAUACCCAUUUGCAUCCUAUAGGUUUGCACCAUAAGGACGAUCAGUUAUCUCCCAAGUUUCAUCCGCCAAGAUGGAAUCCAUCUCGCUACGAACCGCUUCCUUCCAGUAGUCAGCAUCUUCCGAUGCAUAGGCCUCCAAAAUAGAACUGGGAGUGUCAUCUAUGAGAUACACAAGAAAAUCAUCACCCAAGGACUUUGCUGUCCUCUGUCUCUUACUCCUAGUAGGAACUUCAUUGUUCUCCUCCACAGGCCUUUCAAAGUGUUCCAUCGAAAUGGCAGGUUCAGUAAUUGUAACUGGUUCCUGAUUCGAUGAACUAGGCAUCUCCUGAUUAGAUGAGGUAGCCAUAUCCUUCAUGGGAAAGAUAUCUUCAAAGAAAGUCGCAUCAUUCGACUCCAUGAUCGUACUGACAUGCAUGUCAGAUACCUCAGAUUUUACAACCAAGAAUAUAUAGCCAAUGCUAUGAAAAGCAUAUCCCAGGAAAACACAAUCCACAGUCUUUGGUCCAAGCUUCCGCUUCUUUGGAAUUGGAACAUUGACUUUCGCCAAGCAACCCCAUGUUCGCAGAUAAGAGAGUCUUAACCUUUUCUUCUCCCAUUCCUCGAAUGGAGUUAUCUCUUUGUUCUUUGUGGGAACUCGAUUUAGGACAUGACAUGCUGUCAAUAUCGUCUCCCCCCACCAUGCCUUGGAGAGACCCGAUGUGCAUAACAUGGCGUUAACGAAAUCAGUUAGAGUACGGUUCUUUCUUUCGGCCACCCCAUUUGACUGAGGUGAGUAGGGAGGCGUCCUCUCAUGGAUUAUACCAUGUUCCGCACAAAAAGCAUCAAAUUCAUUGGAAAAAUACUCUCCACCACGGUCAGACCUAAGCCUCUUGAUUUUUCGAUCAAGUUGGUUUUCCACUUCAGCUUUAUAGAUCUUGAAAAAGUUCAAAGCCUCAUCCUUAGAUUUCAGAAGAUACACAUGGCAGUAUCUAGUGGAGUCGUCAAUUAACGUCAUGAAAUAUUUCUUUCCACCUUUUGUCAAAACACCAUUCAUUUCACAUAGAUCUGAAUGUAUAAGUUCUAGUGGUGCAAGAUUUCUCGUCUCCGCAGUCACGUGAGACUUACGAGGUUGCUUAGCUUGCACACACACUUGACACUUAGAUCCUUGACAGUGGUGAAACUAGGGAUUAAGUUCAACUUCGCUAGUCGCGACAUGCAACCAAAGUUAACAUGACAAAGACGUGAAUGCCACACAUUUGAUUCACUAUUGUUGCAAAUAUGAUUAACAACUUUAUUGCAAAUGUCUGAUAAGGAUAAACGAAACAGGCCUCCUGACUCAUAGCCUUUACCAACAAAGGUCCCAUACUUGGAUAUUACAAAUUUAUUCGACUCAAAGACAAGCUUAUAGCCAUCUCUACACAGAAGAGAUCCGCUAACAAGAUUUUUAUUGACGGAGGGGACAUAAUGCACGUUCUUCAGCCGCACGAUCUUCCCUGAAGUAAACUUCAGAUCAACCAUGCCAACACCACGAACAGAAGCACUUGAACUGUUGCCCAUCAGCACGGUUGAAGUCCCUGCGGUCUGAUAAGAUGAAAACAUGGAAAUAUCACCGUAUACAUGCACAUUAGCACCCAUGUCAAUCAACCAACCAGGAGAAUGACAUACUGAAAGAAUAGUGGGAAAUAUACCAUACCCAACAUCUUUCAUGUCAAUGUCUCCGAUGACAACAUUAGCGGUCUUGCCGCCUUUCCCAGGAUGACGCUUGUCAUAGCGAUUAGGACAACUAGGAGCCCAAUGAUCAGGAUCUCCAAACACAUGACAAGCACCUUUCUUAUUGUCAUUCUUCUUCUUGAAGUUCAUGUGCUGCACAGCCUUGUUCUUCCCAUCGAACUUUGCUUUACCAUCAAACUUGCCCUUGUUCUUGAACUUGUGGGACUGGAAGUUCUUCUUCUGUACCAGAUUGGCACUAGAUCCUCCCUCAAUACCUCGAGCACAUGUGUCCUUUGCUCUCGCCUUUUCUUCCACAUAAGAGUACCAAUGAGAUCCGGGAUGGAAAACUCCUGUCUCUUAUGCUUCAGUGAGGUAGCAAAGUUCCUCCAUGAAGGAGGAAGCUUAGUGAUGAUACCCCCGGCAACAAACUUGUCCGGUAAGAUACAAUUGAAGUGCUCAAGUUCUCUAGCAAAAGACUGUAUCUCAUGAGCCUGCUCAACCACGGAGCGCUCUUCAGUCAUCCUGUAAUCAUAGAAUUAUUCCAUGAUGUACAGCUCAGUGCCGGCAUCCGAGACCCCAAACUUGGCCUCGAGUGUGUCCCACAUAUCUUUUCAUUGUCAAUUGACGCAUAAGCAUCAACUAUGUUCUCACCAAGAACACUCAAAAGAGCAGCCUUAAACAAGGUAUCCAUUUUCUGGAAAGCUUGUGCCUGUUGGGCAUCUUGCUCUCCUUCGGGUUUGCCAAGAGUGGCAUCAUAGAAACUCAUGGUUUGAAACCAUAAGACUGCUCUCACACGCCACUUCUUAUAGUGGAUACCCUCAAACAUAGGAGGUCUCAUGGAAGCAGCAAAAUCACUCGGGGUAAAUUGCCUAUAAUAAGGUUUUUGGAUUGUUGGAAAUAUGAGCAAUUUACCGAAUGAUUUUAUUAACAAAAAUACUAGAUAAAGCAUGACUAAAAUAGCAAAUAUAAAGCAAGUCAUGCAGUCUGACAGAGAGAAGGUAAACAUCGUCUGCAUAUAUGAACUUGAGCUAAACACAGCUAGAACAGACACUAGAUGAAGUUGCUUAUACGAAACAGAACCUAACAUACGUAGGGCAGAAACUAGAGCCAAGAACUAUAGCAGGACUUCUAACAGAAAGGAGAAGAACACGUACGGCACAGCAGCAGCAGAAGCGCUGGACUUGGGGUUGGUGUCCUUGCCUGCCAUGUCAUCGAGGAGGUCAUGGACGUCAGGGAAGAAGUCGUCGUCGGGGAAGUAGUCGUUGGCGACCGGAUCGUCUGUGAUGAAGCAGCCAGUAGUCGCACUAAGUGCUCCCCAAAAACCUUAUCACCCUUCUCCCGUACAGGACUCAAAAGGUGCGGUCGCGAAAGCCUACUGUCCCGACGUGCGGUGCACGCCACAAGUCGGGAUGAGGAAGACAGCAGCAGCUCAGAGAUGGAACCGAUGGCGAGGGAAGGAGCAGUUCUGGUGCGUCUCUCUGAGAGGAGCGACCUCCCUUUUAUAGGCGCAAGAGAAGGAGGCGAGAGGCUGCGCCGGGAGCUGAAGGGAAUGCGGGAGACGAAACAAACAGGCAGCAGCCGAAGGGGCGCGCCGUUCGGAUUCAGUGUCCAGGCACAGAAAAAAAAUGUUUCAGCUUCCGAGUGACCUUUCGUAUACCCGUAGUGCGUGGCAAAAAUUUAGACAUCGGCUCGGCUCAUUCCCGCAACCCGCGGCGCGGCGCAUCGUGAUGAGGCGUGGUGAGGCGGGCGGCGGAGGAGGAGCACGCGUGGAUGUCCCUCUUGUUCUCAUGCUCAUACAAGUGGGGAAGGAGCCUCCCUUAUAAAGAGGUCCAACUCCCUCUAAACUAGCAAGGUGGGACUAAACUUUAGUUCCACCUCUUGCCUUGCACGAAUGGGCUGCGUGGGCCUCUAGGAUUUAUUAGGAAUUUCUAAAAUUGCUAUUGGGCUAGGCCCAAAUAGACAAAAAUUCCAGCAAUCCCCCACCAGAUCCCAGAGGCACACAAAAUUUGCCUUUGGUUCCAAAACACUGUUUUAUAUACUGGUACAGCAGUGGAGACUGUUAAGUUGAACUUCCACCUAGAACCCUAUGCUACACUAGUAAGCAACUUGAACAGUGGACUGGGCCUUGAACUGCAAGUUUUCUGCAAAUCUAGCUUCACAUAAGGCCUUGACCGAUACGUGGCUACCGUGGGUCUUCCCCGUGGGUGGAGCUUAUGCGUCAUACUCCGUGACCUUUCAUUAGUUUACUAGAGAGAACCCUACUCUCAUAGAUUGCGACGUUUAACAAUCAGACUCAUAUAGGUGCGUUCUUCAAAAGAUGUUCUGCAGGACAACAUCUCUGCUUCAAAAAGCCACUUAGAACACAUUAAGAUAUAAAUCAACCUGCCAUGCAGAUUAGGAGAGUAUUGCAUCUUCAUGGAGUGGUAUUUUAACAGUAUGGAUACUCUCCUCUCAGUUGACCAACAACUUGUCUUCCACAUCUAAUUCACGGGAUCUCCGAUCAUAAAGAAUAGGUUACCACUAUGAACAACUCAUAUUGUGGGUCUCAUUCCCAUCUCCCUCGAUGCAUUAUCUAUCACAUUACGUGAUAGACCGUUAGUAAAAGGAUCUGCCAGAUUUUUAGACGUUUGGAUAGAAUCCAAUGCAAUAACUCUGGAGUUUUUCAUUUUUCUGACAGACUUUAACCUUCUCUGAACGUGUCUUGAUGACUUCAUGUUAUCCUUUGAGUUGCUCACUUUAGUGAUCACAGUUUGAUUGUCACAGUUCAUCCGGAUACCCGGUAUAGGUUUCUCAACUACCGGUAAGUCAUUCAAGAGCCGACGAAGCCAAUCUGCUUCGACCGUACCUGUAUCUAGUGUUGUGAGUUCUGCUUCCAUUGUUGACCUCGUUAAGAUGGUCUGCUUGCAAGACUUCCAAGAAACAGCGCCACCUCCAUGAGUGAAUACAUAACCGCUCGUGGCCUUUAUCUCAUCAGCAUCUGAGAUCCAGUUUGAGUCACUAUACCCUUCAAGCACCUUUGGAUGCCAAGUGUAGUGAAUUCCAUAAUUUGCAGUGCCUUUUAAAUAACGCAAAACUCUCUCUAGAGCUUUCCAAUGCACAUCUCCUGGUUUUGAGACAAACCGGCUUAGUUAGCUAACAGCAAAAGAGAUGUCAGGUCUCGUAGCACUGGCUAAGUACAUAAGCGAGCCAAUAAUCUGUGAAUAUUUCAAUUGGUCUCUAGUGAUUCUUCGAUUCUUUCGAAGCAACACACUAGCAUCAUAUGGUGUUGGAGAGGGCUUGCAGUCACUGUAGCCAAAGCGGCUCAAGAUCUUUUCCACAUAGUGAGAUUGAAGCAAUGUAAUCCCACAAUCAUCAUCUCUCAAAAACUUGAUGUUCAGAAUGACAUCAGCCACUCCUAAAUCCUUCAUCUCAAAACAGCAAGAUAGGAAAUCCUUGACCUCCUUAAGAACAUUCAGAUCUGUUCCGAAAAUCAGUAUGUCAUCAACAUACAAGCAAAGCAUAACUCCCUUGCCCCCACCAUGGCGAUAGUACACACAUUUGUCAGCUUCGUUCACAACAAAGCCUGCAGCUAUUAAAGUUCUUUCGAACUUCUCAUGCCACUGUUUGGGUGCUUGCUUGAGUCCAUACAAAGACUUCAGCAACUUGCACACUUUCCCUUCCUGGCCAUCUAUUACAAACCCCUCUGGUUGUUCCAUAUAAAUUUCCUCAUCCAAAUCUCCAUUUAGGAAAGCAGUCUUAACAUCCAUUUGAUGAACGAGAAGACCAUGUGAGGCAGCUAGUGAAAGUAGACCUCGAAUAGUGGUCAGUCGAGCCACAGGUGAGUAAGUAUCAAAGAAGUCUUCACCUUCCUUUUGGUUAUAACCCUUUGCCACGAGCCGAGCCUUGUACUUUUCAUUAGUACCAUCAGGCCUAAGUUUCUUCUUGAAUACCCAUUUGCAUCCUAUAGGUUUGCACCCAUAAGGACGAUCAGUUAUCUCCCAAGUUUCAUUCGCCAAGAUGGAAUCCAUCUCGCUACGAAUCGCUUCCUUCCAGUAGUCAGCAUCUUCCGAUGCAUAGGCAUCCGAAAUAGAACUGGGAGUGUCAUCUAUGAGAUACACAAGAAAAUCAUCACCAAAGGACUUUGCUGUCCUCUGUCUCUUGCUCCUAGUAGGAACUUCAUUGUUCUCCUCCGCAGGACUUUCAAAGUGUUCCAUCGAAAUGGCAGGUUCAGUAAUUGUAACUGGUUCCUGAUUCGAUGAACUAGGCAUCUCCUAAUUAGAUGAGGUAGCCAUAUCCUUCAUGGGAAUGAUAUCUUCAAAGAAAGUCGCAUCAUUCGACUCCAUGAUCGUACCGACAUGCAUGUCAGAUACCUCAGAUUUUACAACCAAGAAUCUAUAGCCAAUGCUGUGAAAAGCAUAUCCCAGGAAAACACAAUCCACAGUCUUUGGUCCAAGCUUCCGCUUCUUUGGAAUUGGAACAUUGACUUUCGCCAAGCAACCGCAUGUUCGCAGAUAAGAGAGUUUUAACCUUUUCUUCUCCCAUUCCUCGAAUGGAGUUAUCUCUUUGUUCUUUGUGGGGACUCGAUUUAGGACAUGACAUGCUGUCAAUAUCGCCUCCCCCCACCAUGCCUUGGAGAGACCCGAUGUGGCGUUAACCAAAUCAGUUAGAGUACGGUUCUUUCUUUCGGCCACCCCAUUUGACUGAGGUGAGUAGGGAGGCGUCCCCUCAUGGAUUAUACCAUGUUCUGCACAAAAAGCAUCAAAUUCAUUGGAAAAAUACUCUCCACCACGGUCAGACCUAAGCCUCUUGAUUUUUCGAUCAAGUUGGUUUUCCACUUCAGCUUUAUAGAUCUUGAAAAAGUUCAAAGCCUCAUCCUUACAUUUCAGAAGAUACACAUGGCAGUAUCUAGUGGAGUCAUUAAUUAACGUCAUGCAAUAUUUCUUUCCACCUUUUGUCAAAACACCAUUCAUUUCACAUAGAUCUGAAUGUAUAAGUUCUAGUGGUGCAAGAUUUCUCGUCUCCGUAGUCACGUGAGACUUACGAGGUUGCUUAGCUUGCACACACACUUGACACUUAGAUCCUUGACAGUGGUGAAACUAGGGAUUAAGUUCAACUUCGCUAGUCGCGACAUGCAACCAAAGUUAACAUGACAAAGACGUGAAUGCCACACAUUUGAUUCACUAUUGUUGCAAAUAUGAUUAACAACUUUAUUGCAAACGUCUGAUAAGGAUAAACGAAACAGGCCUCCUGACUCAUAGCCUUUACCAACAAAGGUCCCAUACUUGGAUAUUACAAAUUUAUUCGACUCAAAGACAAGCUUAUAGCCAUCUCUACACAGAAGAGAUCCGCUAACAAGAUUUUUAUUGACGGAGGGGACAUAAUGCACGUUCUUCAGCCGCACGAUCUUCCCUGAAGUAAACUUCAGAUCAACCAUGCCAACACCACGAACAGAAGCACUUGAACUGUUGCCCAUCAGCACGGUUGAAGUCCCUGCGGUCUGAUAAGAUGAAAACAUGGAAAUAUCACCGCAUACAUGCACAUUAGCACCCAUGUCAAUCAACCAACCAGGAGAAUGACAUACUGAAAGAAUAGUGGGAAAUAUACCAUACCCAGCAUCUUUCAUGUCAAUGUCUCCGAUGACAACAUUAGCGGUCUUGCCGCCUUUCCCAGGAUGACGCUUGUCAUAGCGAUUAGGACAACUAGGAGCCCAAUGAUCAGGAUCUCCAAACACAUGACAAGCACCUUUCUUAUUGUCAUUCUUCUUCUUGAAGUUCAUGUGCUGCACAGCCUUGUUCUUCCCAUCGAACUUUGCUUUACCAUCAAACUUGCCCUUGUUCUUGAACUUGUGGGACUGGAAGUUCUUCUUCUGUACCAGAUUGGCACUAGAUCCUCCCUCAAUACCUCGAGCACGUGUGUCCUUUGCUCUCGCCUUUUCUUCCACAUAAGAGUACCAAUGAGAUCCGGGAUGGAAAACUCCUGUCUCUUAUGCUUCAGUAAGGUAGCAAAGUUCCUCCAUGAAGGAGGAAGCUUAGUGAUGAUACCCCCGGCAACAAACUUGUCCGGUAAGAUACAAUUGAAGUGCUCAAGUUCUCUAGCAAAAGACUGUAUCUCAUGAGCCUGCUCAACCACGGAGCGCUCUUCAGUCAUCCUGUAAUCAUAGAAUUAUUCCAUGAUGUACAGCUCAGUGCCGGCAUCCGAGACCCCAAACUUGGCCUCGAGUGUGUCCCACAUAUCUUUUCAUUGUCAAUUGAAGCAUAAGCAUCAACUAUGUUCUCACCAAGAACACUCAAAAGAGCAGCCUUAAACAAGGUAUCCAUUUUCUGGAAAGCUUGUGCCUGUUGGGCAUCUUGCUCUCCUUCAGGUUUGCCAAGAGUGGCAUCAUAGAAACUCAUGGUUUGAAACCAUAAGACUGCUCUCACACGCCACUUCUUAUAGUGGAUACCCUCAAACAUAGGAGGUCUCAUGGAAGCAGCAAAAUCACUCGGGGUAAAUUGCCUAUAAUAAGGUUUUUGGAUUGUUGGAAAUAUGAGCAAUUUACCGAAUGAUUUUAUUAACAAAAAUACUAGAUAAAGCAUGACUAAAAUAGCAAAUAUAAAGCAAGUCAUGUAGUCUGACAGAGAGAAGGUAAACAUCGUCUGCAUAUAUGAACUUGAGCUAAACACAGCUAGAACAGACACUAGAUGAAGUUGCUUAUACGAAACAGAACCUAACAUACGUAGGGCAGAAACUAGAGCCAAGAACUAUAGCAGGACUUCUAACAGAAAGGAGAAGAACACGUACGGCACAGCAGCAGCAGAAGCGCUGGACUUGGGGUUGGUGUCCUCGCCUGCCAUGUCAUCGAGGAGGUCAUGGACGUCAGGGAAGAAGUCGUCGUCGGGGAAGUAGUCGUCGGCGACCGGAUCGUCUGUGAUGAAGCAGCCAGUAGUCGCACUAAGCGCUCCCCAAAAACCUUAUCACCCUUCUCCCGUACAGGACUCAAAAGGGGCGGUCGCGAAAGCCUACUGUCCCGACGUGCGGUGCACGCCACAAGUCGGGAUGAGGAAGACAGCAGCAGCUCAGAGAUGGAACCGAUGGCGAGGGAAGGAGCAGUUCUGGUGCGUCUCUCUGAGAGGAGCGACCUCCCUUUUAUAGGCGCAAGAGAAGGAGGCGAGAGGCUGCGCCGGGAGCUGAAGGGAAUGCGGGAGACGAAACGAACAGGCAGCAGCCGAAGGGGCGCGCCGUUCGGAUUCAGUGUCCAGGCACAGAAAAAAAAUGUUUCAGCUUCCGAGUGACCUUUCGUAUACCCGUAGUGCGUGGCAAAAAUUUAGACAUCGGCUCGGCUCAUUCCCGCAACCCGCGGCGCGGCGCAUCGUGAUGAGGCGUGGUGAGGCGGGCGGCGGAGGAGGAGCACGCGUGGAUGUCCCUCUUGUUCUCAUGCUCAUACAAGUGGGGAAGGAGCCUCCCUUAUAAAGAGGUCCAACUCCCUCUAAACUAGCAAGGUGGGACUAAACUUUAGUUCCACCUCUUGCCUUGCACGAAUGGGCUGCGUGGGCCUCUAGGAUUUAUUAGGAAUUUCUAAAAUUGCUAUUGGGCUAGGCCCAAAUAGACAAAAAUUCCAGCAAUCCCCCACCAGAUCCCAGAGGCACACAAAAUUUGCCUUUGGUUCCAAAACACUGUUUUAUAUACUGGUACAGCAGUGGAGACUGUUAAGUUGAACUUCCACCUAGAACCCUAUGCUACACUAGUAAGCAACUUGAACAGUGGACUGGGCCUUGAACUGCAAGUUUUCUGCAAAUCUAGCUUCACAUAAGGCCUUGACCGAUACGUGGCUACCGUGGGUCUUCCCCGUGGGUGGAGCUUAUGCGUCAUACUCCGUGACCUUUCAUUAGUUUACUAGAGAGAACCCUACUCUCAUAGAUUGCGACGUUUAACAAUCAGACUCAUAUAGGUGCGUUCUUCAAAAGAUGUUCUGCAGGACAACAUCUCUGCUUCAAAAAGCCACUUAGAACACAUUAAGAUAUAAAUCAACCUGCCAUGCAGAUUAGGAGAGUAUUGCAUCUUCAUGGAGUGGUAUUUUAACAGUAUGGAUACUCUCCUCUCAGUUGACCAACAACUUGUCUUCCACAUCUAAUUCACGGGAUCUCCGAUCAUAAAGAAUAGGUUACCACUAUGAACAACUCAUAUUGUGGGUCUCAUUCCCAUCUCCCUCGAUGCAUUAUCUAUCACAUUACGUGAUAGACCCUUAGUAAAAGGAUCUGCCAGAUUUUUAGACGUUUGGAUAUAAUCCAAUGCAAUAACUCUGGAGUUUUUCAUUUUUCUGACAGACUUUAACCUUCUCUGAACGUGUCUUGAUGACUUCAUGUUAUCCUUUGAGUUGCUCACUUUAGUGAUCACAGUUUGAUUGUCACAGUUCAUCCGGAUACCCGGUACAGGUUUCUCAACUACCGGUAAGUCAUUCAAGAGCCGACGAAGCCAAUCUGCUUCGACCGUACCUGUAUCUAGUGUUGUGAGUUCUGCUUCCAUUGUUGACCUCAUUAAGAUGGUCUGCUUGCAAGACUUCCAAGAAACAGCGCCACCUCCAUGAGUGAAUACAUAACCGCUCGUGGCCUUUAUCUCAUCAGCAUCUGAGAUCCAGUUUGAGUCACUAUACCCUUCAAGCACCUUUGGAUGCCAAGUGUAGUGAAUUCCAUAAUUUGCAGUGCCUUUUAAAUAACGCAAAACUCUCUCUAGAGCUUUCCAAUGCACAUCUCCUGGUUUUGAGACAAACCGGCUUAGUUAGCUAAUAGCAAAAGAGAUGUCAGGUCUCGUAGCACUGGCUAAGUACAUAAGCGAGCCAAUAAUCUGUGAAUAUUUCAAUUGGUCUCUAGUGAUUCUUCGAUUCUUUCGAAGCAACACACUAGCAUCAUAUGGUCUUGGAGAGGGCUUGCAGUCACUGUAGCCAAAGCGGCUCAAGAUCUUUUCCACAUAGUGAGAUUGAAGCAAUGUAAUCCCACCAUCAUCAUCUCUCAACAACUUGAUGUUCAGAAUGACAUCAGCCACUCCUAAAUCCUUCAUCUCAAAACAGCAAGAUAGGAAAUCCUUGACCUCCUUAAGAACAUUCAGAUUUGUUCCGAAAAUCAGUAUGUCAUCAACAUACAAGCAAAGCAUAACUCCCUUGCCCCCACCAUGGCGAUAGUACACACAUUUGUCAGCUUCGUUCACAACAAAGCCUGCAGCUAUUAAAGUUCUUUCGAACUUCUCAUGCCACUGUUUGGGUGCUUGCUUGAGUCCAUACAAAGACUUCAGCAACUUGCACACUUUCCCUUCCUGGCCAUCUAUUACAAACCCCUCUGGUUGUUCCAUAUAAAUUUCCUCAUCCAAAUCUCCAUUUAGGAAAGCAGUCUUAACAUCCAUUUGAUGAACGAGAAGACCAUGUGAGGCAGCUAGUGAAAGUAGACCUCGAAUAGUGGUCAGUCGAGCCACAGGUGAGUAAGUAUCAAAGAAAUCUUCACCUUCCUUUUGGUUAUAACCCUUUGCCACGAGCCGAGCCUUGUACUUUUCAUUAGUACCAUCAGGCCUAAGUUUCUUCUUGAAUACCCAUUUGCAUCCUAUAGGUUUGCACCCAUAAGGACGAUCAGUUAUCUCCCAAGUUUCAUUCGCCAAGAUGGAAUCCAUCUCGCUACGAAUCGCUUCCUUCCAGUAGUCAGCAUCUUCCGAUGCAUAGGCAUCCGAAAUAGAACUGGGAGUGUCAUCUAUGAGAUACACAAGAAAAUCAUCACCAAAGGACUUUGCUGUCCUCUGUCUCUUGCUCCUAGUAGGAACUUCAUUGUUCUCCUCCGCAGGACUUUCAAAGUGUUCCAUCGAAAUGGCAGGUUCAGUAAUUGUAACUGGUUCCUGAUUCGAUGAACUAGGCAUCUCCUAAUUAGAUGAGGUAGCCAUAUCCUUCAUGGGAAUGAUAUCUUCAAAGAAAGUCGCAUCAUUCGACUCCAUGAUCGUACCGACAUGCAUGUCAGAUACCUCAGAUUUUACAACCAAGAAUCUAUAGCCAAUGCUGUGAAAAGCAUAUCCCAGGAAAACACAAUCCACAGUCUUUGGUCCAAGCUUCCGCUUCUUUGGAAUUGGAACAUUGACUUUCGCCAAGCAACCCCAUGUUCGCAGAUAAGAGAGUUUUAACCUUUUCUUCUCCCAUUCCUCGAAUGGAGUUAUCUCUUUGUUCUUUGUGGGGACUCGAUUUAGGACAUGACAUGCUGUCAAUAUCGCCUCCCCCCACCAUGCCUUGGAGAGACCCGAUGUGGCGUUAACCAAAUCAGUUAGAGUACGGUUCUUUCUUUCGGCCACCCCAUUUGACUGAGGUGAGUAGGGAGGCGUCCUCUCAUGGAUUAUACCAUGUUCUGCACAAAAAGCAUCAAAUUCAUUGGAAAAAUACUCUCCACCACAGUCAGACCUAAGCCUCUUGAUUUUUCGAUCAAGUUGGUUUUCCACUUCAGCUUUAUAGAUCUUGAAAAAGUUCAAAGCCUCAUCCUUACAUUUCAGAAGAUACACAUGGCAGUAUCUAGUGGAGUCAUUAAUUAACGUCAUGCAAUAUUUCUUUCCACCUUUUGUCAAAACACCAUUCAUUUCACAUAGAUCUGAAUGUAUAAGUUCUAGUGGUGCAAGAUUUCUCGUCUCCGCAGUCACGUGAGACUUACGAGGUUGCUUAGCUUGCACACACACUUGACACUUAGAUCCUUGACAGUGGUGAAACCAGGGAUUAAGUUCAACUUCGCUAGUCGCGACAUGCAACCAAAGUUAACAUGACAAAGACGUGAAUGCCACACAUUUGAUUCACUAUUGUUGCAAAUAUGAUUAACAACUUUAUUGCAAACGUCUGAUAAGGAUAAACGAAACAGGCCUCCUGACUCAUAGCCUUUACCAACAAAGGUCCCAUACUUGGAUAUUACAAAUUUAUUCGACUCAAAGACAAGCUUAUAGCCAUCUCUACACAGAAGAGAUCCGCUAACAAGAUUUUUAUUGACGGAGGGGACAUAAUGCAUGUUCUUCAGCCGCACGAUCUUCCCUGAAGUAAACUUCAGAUCAACCAUGCCAACACCACGAACAGAAGCACUUGAACUGUUGCCCAUCAGCACGGUUGAAGUCCCUGCGGUCUGAUAAGAUGAAAACAUGGAAAUAUCACCGCAUACAUGCACAUUAGCACCCAUGUCAAUCAACCAACCAGGAGAAUGACAUACUGAAAGAAUAGUGGGAAAUAUACCAUACCCAGCAUCUUUCAUGUCAAUGUGUCCGAUGACAACAUUAGCGGUCUUGCCGCCUUUCCCAGGAUGACGCUUGUCAUAGCGAUUAGGACAACUAGGAGCCCAAUGAUCAGGAUCUCCAAACACAUGACAAGCACCUUUCUUCUUGUCAUUCUUCUUCUUGAAGUUCAUGUGCUGCACAGCCUUGUUCUUCCCAUCGAACUUUGCUUUACCAUCAAACUUGCCCUUGUUCUUGAACUUGUGGGACUGAAAGUUCUUCUUCUGUACCAGAUUGGCACUAGAUCCUCCCUCAAUACCUCGGGCACGUGUGUCCUUUGCUCUCGCCUUUUCUUCCACAUAAGAGUACCAAUGAGAUCCGGGACGGAAAACUCCUGUCUCUUAUGCUUCAGUAAGGUAGCAAAGUUCCUCCAUGAAGGAGGAAGCUUAGUGAUGAUACCCCCGGCAACAAACUUGUCCGGUAAGAUACAAUUGAAGUUCUCAAGUUCUCUAGCAAAAGACUGUAUCUCAUGAGCCUGCUCAACCAUGGAGCGCUCUUCAGUCAUCCUGUAAUCAUAGAAUUAUUCCAUGAUGUACAGCUCAGUGCCGGCAUCCGAGACCCCAAACUUGGCCUCGAGUGUGUCCCACAUAUCUUUUCAUUGUCAAUUGACGCAUAAGCAUCAACUAUGUUCUCACCAAGAACACUCAAAAGAGCAGCCUUAAACAAGGUAUCCAUUUUCUGGAAAUCUUGUGCCUGUUGGGCAUCUUGCUCUCCUUCAGGUUUGCCAAGAGUGGCGUCAUAGAAACUCAUGGUUUGAAACCAUAAGACUGCUCUCACACGCCACCUCUUAUAGUGAAUACCCUCAAACAUAGGAGGUCUCAUGGAAGCAGCAAAAUCACUCAGGGUAAAUUGCCUAUAAUAAGGUUUUUGGAUUGUUGGAAAUAUGAGCAAUUUACCGAAUGAUUUUAUUAACAAAAAUACUAGAUAAAGCAUGACUAAAAUAGCAAAUAUAAAGCAAGUCAUGCAGUCUGAGAGAUAGAAGGUAAACAUCGUCUGCAUAUAUGAACUUGAGCUAAACACAUCUAGAACAGACACUAGAUGAAGUUGCUUAUACGAAACAGAACCUAACAUACGUAGGGCAAAAUCUAGAGCCAAGAACUGUAGCAGGACUUCUAACAGAAAGGAGAAGAACACGUACGGCACAGCAGCAGCAGAAGCGCUGGACUUGGGUUGCUGUCCUCGCCUGCCAUGUCAUCGAGGAGGUCAUGGACGUCAGGGAAGAAGUCGUCGUCGGCGGGGAAGUAGUCGUCGGCGACCGGAUCGUCUGUGAUGAAGCAGCCAGUAGUCGCACUGAGCACUCCCCAAAAACCUUAUCACCCUUCUCUCGUACAAGACUCAAAAGGUGCGGUCGCGAAAGCCUACUGUCCCGACGUGCGGUGCACGCCGCAAGUCGGGAUGAGGAAGACAGCAGCAGCUCAGAGAUGGAACCGAUGGCGAGGGAAGGAGCAGUUCUGGUGCGUCUCUCUGAGAGGAGCGACCUCCCUUUUAUAGGCGCAAGAGAAGGAGGCGAGAGGCUGCGCCGAGAGCUGAAGGGAAUGCGGGAGACGAAACGAACAGGCAGCAGCCGAAGGGGCGCACCAUUCGGAUUCAGUGUCCAGGCACAGAAAAAAAAUGUUUCAGCUUUCGAGUGACCUUUCGUAUACCCGUAGUGCGUGGCAAAAAUUUAGACAUCGGCUCGGCUCAUUCCCGCAACCCGCGGCGCGGCGCAUCGUGACGAGGCGUGGUGAGGCAGGCGGCGGAGGAGGAGCGCACGUGGAUGUCCCUCUUGUUCUCAUGCUCAUACAAGUGGGGAAGGAGCCUCCCUUAUAAAGAGGUCCAACUCCCUCUAAACUAGCAAGGUGGGACUAAACUUUAGUUCCACCUCUUGCCUUGCACGAAUGGGCUGCAUGGGCCUCUAGGAUUUAUUAGGAAUUUCUAAAAUUGCUAUUGGGCUAGGCCCAAAUAGACAAAAAUUCCAGCAAUCCCCCACCAGAUCCCAGAGGCACAAAAAAUUUGCCUUUGGUUCCAAAACACUGUUUUAUAUACUGGUACAGCAGUGGAGACUGUUAAGUUGAACUUCCACCUAGAACCCUAUGCUACACUAGUAAGCAACUUGAACAGUGGACUGGGCCUUGAACUGCAAGUUUUCUGCAAAUCUAGCUUCACAUAAAGCCUUGACCGAUACGUGGCUACCGUGGGUCUUCCCCGCGGGUGGAGCUUAUGCGUCAUACUCCAUGACCUUUCAUUAGUUUACUAGAGAGAACCCUACUCUCAUAGAUUGCGACGUUUAACAAUCAGACUCAUAUAGGUGCGUUCUUCAAAAGAUGUUCUGCAGGACAACAUCUCUGCUUCAAAAAGCCACUUAGAACACAUUAAGAUAUAAAUCAACCUGCCAUGCAGAUUAGGAGAGUAUUGCAUCUUCAUGGAGUGGUAUUUUAACAGUAUGGAUACUCUCCUCUCAGUUGACUAACAGCUUGUCUUCCACAUCUAAUUCACGGGAUCUCCGAUCAUAAAGAAUAGAUUACCACUGUGAACAACUCAUAUUGUGGGUCUCAUUCCCAUCUCCCUCGAUGCAUUAUCUAUCACAUUACGUGAUAGACCCUUAGUAAAAGGAUCUGCCAGAUUUUUAGACGUUUGGAUAUGAUCCAAUGCAAUAACUCUGGAGUUUUUCAUUUUUCUGACAGACUAACCUUCUCUGAACGUGUCUUGAUGACUUCAUGUUAUCCUUUGAGUUGCUCACUUUAGUGAUCACAGUUUGAUUGUCACAGUUCAUCCGGAUACCCGAUACAGGUUUCUCAACUACCGGUAAGUCAUUCAAGAGCAGACGAAGCCAAUCCGCUUCAACCGUACAUGUAUCUAGUGUUGUGAGUUCUACUUCCAUUGUUGACCUCGUUAGAUGGUCUGCUUGCAAGACUUCCAAGAAACAGCGCCACCUCCAUGAGUGAAUACAUAACCGCUCGUGGCCUUUAUCUCAUCAACAUCUGAGAUCCAGUUUGAGUUACUAUACCCUUCAAGCACCUUUGGAUGCCCAGUGUAGUGAAUUCCAUAAUUUGCAGUGCCUUUCAAAUAACGCAAAACUCUCUCUAGAGCUUUCCAAUGCACAUCUCCUGGUUUUGAGACAAACCGGCUUAGUUAGCUAACAGCAAAAGAGAUGUCAGGUCUCAUAGCACUGGCUAAGUACAUAAGCGAGCCAAUAAUCUGUGAAUAUUUCAAUUGGUCUCUAGCGAUUCUUCGAUUCUUUCGAAGCAACACACUAGCAUCAUAUGGUGUUGGAGAGGGCUUGCAGUCACUAUAGCCAAAGCGGCUCAAGAUCUUUUCCACAUAGUGAGAUUGAAGCAAUGUAAUCCCACCAUCAUCAUCUCUCAACAACUUGAUGUUCAGAAUGAGAUCAGCCACUCCUAAAUCCUUCAUCUCAAAACAGCAAGAUAGGAAAUCCUUGACCUCCUUAAGAACAUUCAGAUUUGUUCCGAAAAUCAGUAUGUCAUCAACAUACAAGCAAAGCAUAACUCCCUCGCCCCCACCAUGGCGAUAGUACACACAUUUGUCAGCUUCGUUCACAACAAAGCCUGCAGCUAUUAAAGUUCUUUCGAACUUCUCAUGCCACUGUUUGGGUGCUUGCUUGAGUCCAUACAAAGACUUCAGCAACUUGCACACUUUCCCUUCCUGGCCAUCUAUUACAAACCCCUCUGGUUGUUCCAUAUAAAUUUCCUCAUCCAAAUCUCCAUUUAGGAAAGCAGUCUUAACAUCCAUUUGAUGAACGAGAAGACCAUGUGAGGUAGCUAGUGAAAGUAGACCUCGAAUAGUGGUCAGUCGAGCCACAGGUGAGUAAGUAUCAAAGAAGUCUUCACCUUCCUUUUGGGUAUAACCCUUUUCCAUGAGCCAAGCCUUGUACUUUUCAUUAGUACCAUCAGGCCUAAGUUUCUUCUUGAAUACCCAUUUGCAUCCUAUAGGUUUGCACCCAUAAGGACGAUCAGUUAUCUCCCAAGUUUCAUUCGCCAAGAUGGAGUCCAUCUCGCUACGAAUCGCUUCCUUCCAGUAGUCAGCAUCUUCCGAUGCAUAGGCAUCCGAAAUAGAACUGGGAGUGUCAUCUAUGAGAUACACAAGAAAAUCAUCAGCAAAGGACUUUGCUGUCCUCUGUCUCUUGCUCCUAGUAGGAACUUCAUUGUUCUCCUCCGCAGGACUUUCAAAGUGUUCCAUCGAAAUGGCAGGUUCAGUAAUUGUAACUGGUUCCUGAUUCGAUGAACUAGGCAUCUCCUAAUUAGAUGAGGUAGCCAUAUCCUUCAUGGGAAUGAUAUCUUCAAAGAAAGUCGCAUCAUUCGACUCCAUGAUCGUACCGACAUGCAUGUCAGAUACCUCAGAUUUUACAACCAAGAAUCUAUAGCCAAUGCUGUGAAAAGCAUAUCCCAGGAAAACACAAUCAACAGUCUUUGGUCCAAGCUUCCGCUUCUUUGGAAUUGGAACAUUGACUUUCGCCAAGCAACCCCAUGUUCGCAGAUAAGAGAGUUUUAACCUUUUCUUCUCCCAUUCCUCGAAUGGAGUUAUCUCUUUGUUCUUUGUGGGGACUCGAUUUAGGACAUGACAUGCUGUCAAUAUCGCCUCCCCCCACCAUGCCUUGGAGAGACCCGAUGUGGCGUUAACCAAAUCAGUUAGAGUACGGUUCUUUCUUUCGGCCACCCCAUUUGACUGAGGUGAGUAGGGAUGCGUCCUCUCAUGGAUUAUACCUUGUUCUGCACAAAAAGCAUCAAAUUCAUUGGAAAAAUACUCUCCACCACGGUCAGACCUAAGCCUCUUGAUUUUUCGAUCAAGUUGGUUUUCCACUUCAGCUUUAUAGAUCUUGAAAAAGUUCAAAUCCUCAUCCUUACAUUUCAGAAGAUACACAUGGCAGUAUCUAGUGGAGUCGUUAAUUAACGUCAUGAAAUAUUUCUUUCCACGUUUUGUCAAAACACCAUUCAUUUCACAUAGAUCUGAAUGUAUAAGUUCUAGUGGUGCAAGAUUUCUCGUCUCCGCAGUCAUGUGAGACUUACGAGGUUGCUUAGCUUGCACACACACUUGACACUUAGAUCCCUUGACAGUGGUGAAACUAGGGAUUAAGUUCAACUUCGCUAGCCGCGACAUGCAACCAAAGUUAACAUGACAAAGACGUGAAUGCCACACAUUUGAUUCACUAUUGUUGCAAAUAUGAUUAACAACUUUAUUGCAAAUGUCUGAUAAGGAUAAACGAAACAGGCUUCCUGACUCAUAGCCUUUGCCAACAAAAGUUCCAUACUGGGAUAUUACAAAUUUAUUCGACUCAAAUACAAGCUUAUAGCCAUCUCUACACAGAAGAGAUCCGCUAACAAGAUUGUUAUUGACGGAGGGGACAUAAUGCACGUUCUUCAGCCGCACGAUCUUCCCCGAAGUAAACUUCAGAUCGACCAUGCCAACACCACGAACAGAAGCACUUGAACCGUUGCCCAUCAGCACGGUUGAAGUCCCUGCGGUCUGAUCAGAUGAAAACAUGGAAAUAUCACUGCAUACAUGCACAUUAGCACCCAUGUCAAUCAACCAAUCAGGAGAAUGACAUACUGAAAGAAUAGUGGGAAAUAUACCAUACCCAGCAUCUUUCAUGUCAAUGUCUCCGAUGACAACAUUAGCGGUCUUGCCGCCUUUCCCAGGAUGACGCUUGUCAUAGAGAUUAGGACAAAUAGGAGCCCAAUGAUCAGGCUCUCCACACACAUGACAAGCACCUUUCUUCUUGUCAUUCUUCUUCUUGAAGUUCGUGUGCUGCACAGCCUUGUUCUUCCCAUCGAACUUUGCUUUACCAUCAAACUUGCCCUUGUUCUAGAACUUGUGGGACUGGAAGUUCUUCUUCUGUACUAGAUUGGCACUAGAUCCUCCCUCAAUACCUCGAGCACGUGUGUCCUUUGCUCUCGCCUUUUCUUCCACAUCAAGAGUACCAAUGAGUUCCGGGACGGAAAACUCCUGUCUCUUAUGCUUCAGUAAGGUAGCAAAGUUCCUCCACGAAGGAGGAAGCUUAGUGAUGAUACCCCCGGCAACAAACUUGUCCGGUAAGAUACAAUUGAAGUGCUCAAGUUCUCUAGCAAAGGACUGUAUCUCAUGAUCCUGCUCAACCACGGAGCGCUCUUCAGUCAUCAUGUAAUCAUAGAAUUGCUCCAUGAUGUACAAUUCAGUGCCGGCAUCCGAGACCCCAAACUUGGCCUCAAGUGCGUCCCACAUAUCUUUUCUAUUGUCAAUUGACGCAUAAGCAUCAACUAUGUUCUCACCAAGAACACUCAAAAGAGCAGCCUUAAACAAGGUAUCCAUUUUCAGAAAAGCUUGUGCCUGUUGGGCAUCUUGCUCUCCUUCAGGUUUGCCAAGAGUGGCGUCAUAGCAACUCAUGGUUUGAAACCAUAAGACUGCUCUCACGCGCCACCUCUUAUAGUGGAUACCCUCAAACAUACGAGCUCUCAUGGAAGCAGCAAAACCACUCGGGGUAAAUUGCCUAUAAUAAGGUUUUUGGAUUGUUGGAAAUAUGAGCAAUUUACCGAAUGAUUUUAUUAACAAAAAUACUAGAUAAAGCAUGACUAAAAUAGCAAAUAUAAAACAAGUCAUGCAGUCUGACAGAGAGAAGGUAAACAUCGUCUGCAUAUAUGAACUUGAGCUAAACACAUCUAGAACAUACACUAGAUGAAGUUGCUUAUACGAAACAGAACCUAACAUACGUAGGGCAGAAACUAGAGCCAAGAACUGUAGCAGGACUUCUAACAGAAAGGAGAAGAACACGUACGGCAUAGCAGCAGCAGAAGCGCUGGACUUCGGGUCGGUGUCCUCGCCUGCCAUGUCGUCGAGGAGGUCGUGGACGUCGGGGAAGAAGUCGUCGUCGGGGAAGUAGUCGUCGGCGACCGGAUCGUCCGUGAUGAAGCAGCCAGUAGUCGCGCUGAGCGCUCCCCAAAAACCUUAUCACCCUUCUCCCGUACAGGACUCAAAAGGUGCGGUCUCGGAGGCCUACUAUCCCGACGUGCGGUGCACGCCGCAAGUCGGGAUGAGGAAGACAGCAGCAGCUCAGAGAUGGAACCGAUGGCGAGGGAAGGAGCAGUUCUGGUGCGUCUCUCUGAGAGGAGCGACCUCCCUUUUAUAGGCGCAAGAGAAGGAGGCGAGAGGCUGCGCCGGGAGCUGAAGGGAAUGCGGGAGACGAAACGAACAUGCAGCAGCCGAAGGGGCGCGCCUUCGGAUUCAGUGUCCAGGCACAGAAAAAAAUGUUUCAGCUUCCGAGUGACCUUUCGUAUACCCGUAGUGCGUGGCAAAAAUUUAGACAUCGGCUCGGCUCAUUCCCGCAACCCGCGGCGCGGCAUGACGAGGCGUGGUGAGGCGGGCGGCGGAGGAGGAGCGCGCGUGGAUGUCCCUCUUGUUCUCAUGCUCAUACAAGUGGAGAAGGAGCCUCCCUUAUAAAGAGGUCCAACUCCCUCUAAACUAGCAAGGUGGGACUAAACUUUAGUUCCACCUCUUGCCUUGCACGAAUGGGCUGCGUGGUCCUCUAGGAUUUAUUAGGAAUUUCUGAAACUGCUAUUGUGCUAGGCCCAAAUAGACAAAAAUUCCAGCAGUUUGUGUUCUUCAGGUCUCCACUUGCCAUGAUAUUGCGGCUGGGCUUCGGGUAUGUGUUACCACUGAUACAUCAUUCCAAACUACUAAUGAAUUGGUCUCUGAUGUCUUCUUCUCAAUUUUAACUAGGGCCUGCUUCUGUUUGCACCAAUUCGAGAUAGUGGUUGUGGAAUGCAGCAGCCAAGACAACAAGGUCAGGCUCGGCUUAGGUAUGAUGACAAACAAAAUUAGAUUCGGAUGGUUCCUUACAUCUUCCUCUCAGAAUCAAGAGUGAUAAUACUUUUUUGGUGCUCCGGCUUCUGCAGUUUCUGAAGAACUGAUUCGUUGUUCAGGCAUUUCAUGCAUUUGGAGUUCACAGGUAUCUAAGUUUCUCUGACUGUGUUUUCAAAUAAUUGAUACUUGACAUUAGGAUUUUUGGCUGAACAAAUCAUCUUAGACAUAAGUAGAACCCGGCAAAUUGUGAGACAGAGCUAAUUGAUACACAGUUUAGAAAAUAGAACUGAACAAUUCUUGGUAGUCACUAUUGAUUAGCUAUGUGCGUACCUUAAGUUCCUUACUACUUAUUUUAAUUGUUAGUACUUGAAGGUUUGAAUAAUUAUUAUUACCAAGUUACAUGUUGAUCACUACUUAUUAUGAAAAUGUAUGUCCAUGGUUUAAAGGAGCUUUAUUGUUUCAGUCUAUACUAAGUUAUUUGUCGGUUAUACUGGAGCUUAUAUUGUUCCCUCUUUGAUCUAGACAUCAAAUAUUCUAAGCUUCAUUUUUGUGAGCAAACGGUUCUAUGCUUCCUUUUUGUGAACAUUGCUCCAUAAAUAGUAGUGGCAUUUACUAUGCAGAUGAUACUGACAAAUUAUCAUACAAGUCCGCAUUAAUAUUCAGUCAGUAGGUUAUUGAAGAAGGCCGGAGAUCGCGUGGAGCACCAACAAUAACCUCAAGUAGAUGCAGCAGAGACAUGUGAUGAACUAUCAUAUGUUUCCUAAUCUGAAUGUUUGCUCCAAUCGCUUGAUUGUUUGAUCUGGUUUGUUGUGACAAUACAAUGAUUUUCUAUGUUCUUUUUGUGGUGCAAUCUCCGUUGAUUUGGAAAGAUGGGGACUUUCUGUUGAGCUAUUUCGAUCGGCCAUUGGCCAUAACAUUCCAAAUUCCUUAUUUUGUUUCCUCUUUUUCGCGGCUUCAUUUUACGUGUCUCACUAAAGGUGGGCAUGACUUGAAAAGGGAGGCAAACAAAACUGCCAAGAUGCAUCUCUUUUGCAGCAGAAGAAGAGGCACUGAUGAGAGGUGGAAAAGGAGGGGCAAAGAAGGAAGCCAUGGGCAUGUGCCGCCUACCGACCAUGAAUAUCAACAAUGACAAUGACGACUAGCUUGUGUGCGUGUGAGAGAGGGAGGGAGAGGGAGUCAAAACAAAAUGAUGUAUAUCUUUACUACAUUAUAAAAUGGGAUUUGGUGAGCUAUUUGUCCUUUAUGAUUCAUGAGAUUUUAAUUCUAUAGUGUUUUUUGCUCUUAAUAUAUUAUUGUGGUUAUAGAUUUAUCAUUGACACAAUAUAUGUAGAAACUUUUUUGAUCUAAAUAAGAAGAACAAAAGUUUACGGGAUGCUUUUUGAUCGUUCCCUUUACCUAGCUUCCAAUUUCUAUUGUCAGAAACACAUUUUUUUUGUUCCUAUAGGAAACAUAUGCAAAUAAAAGAUUUGCCGAAGCUUUUUGAGUCCCUGAUGCAUACUAAAUACAGUCCUAGAACAAUAUGCUUAUGCAUAAUAACAAGCUGGAAAAUUGCUCCAAAAUAACACUUAAAACAUAUAAAAGAACAAAAAAAUCCAUUCUGAAUUCUAAAAUGAUCUUUCAAUGUAUGCAGCAAACUGCUUCCUUUAUAAUCUGACAAAACUCGCAGGACUUAUCAUGACGCAUGAAAGGAUAUAGUAAACCAUCACACCGAAGCCGAGGUUGGCUUUGUUUCCUUAUUUUUGCGAGAAGGUGUCAUAGUUCUACUAUUUUGAUUAGCCAUCUAGAGGGAUGACAGUGCAUGCAAUCAUUUAAAUAAAAUAAUACAAAGAUGCUGCAUGAGUCAUCAAUUCAAACAAGAACUUGUUUCAUGUGAUUUUUUGUGUAAAGUGGAAACAAAUUAUUUUUAUAACAACUAAUUCGACAACACAAGUGCUACACCGUGAUCAGUAUAUGCAUAUGAUACGAUCUAGCUAUUUUCCUUUGCACGGGUGGUUUUUAUCAUGAGGUAGGAGGGUUCGUACAAGUCGACUAUCAGCUCUCAUGCAAUGCUUUAAAAAGAAAAACGAGAGGAAUUUGUGAAUUUUUGUAUAACAUUGCAAAUUAUAUGAAAAAACUUUUUAAUUUGUCAGAACUUUUAGGAGGGAGUGAGUGGCAAAUGUUGGAAGACAUUCAAAGUUAGGAUGAUGGGAAUGCCUAUGGCAAUUUGGAGAACUUGGAGAAAACAUAUGCGAACUUGAGCUAGGUAGCAAUGUAGAGCUUAAUUAAGCUAAAUGGUUCAUAUUCAUUUGUUAGUCCAUGAGUUCGAGAUGAUGGACUCAACAAUUGGAUAGAUUUGGAGGGAACACGAAUUUGGAGUAGUGUGACAACAUAGCGAAGUAAUGACACAAUGGUCGAAGGGCUGAAGUUGAGGGGCUUGUGAUAGAUCCAUUUGUUGGCCCGUGGCUGCGCACGGGCGUUCUACUAGUAAUCAUUGGUGGCUUCUUUGACCACCAGACGGCUUAUUGACUUCUUCCACUCGAGGAUCACCGUGGAGCAAUCCUUCUUCCCCUUCCUACAGAAGCACGCCAACCACAAACAAAUGCUCAAAAAGACCUUAGCAAAUGCCAUUGAACUAGAUUGUAGGCAAGAGGAAUCUUAUUAGUUGGUAGAUGUAGAUGUCGAGGCCUCAUCAUUGCUUGCCAGAGGCCUCAUGUGUAUGUCGUGCGUCCCACCAGAGGCCUCUUUUAAUUAGAGGAAGGGCGGUGCGGAGAAGACAUCAUUAGUCACCCUGGGAGAAGAAAGUUCGGUGGCGGUGCGUGUAAAGAGGAGACUUUGGUAGUUUCUGGUGGAGUUGUGGUAGCCGUAGGGACGACGAGAGUGAGAGAGGACUGGGGACGGAGGAGAGGUGAUGGAUGGAAAAAAAUUGGGUGAUUGAGGACGAAAACCAAGAUGAAAANNNNNNNNNNNNNNNNNNNNNNNNNNNNNNNNNNNNNNNNNNNNNNNNNNNNNNNNNNNNNNNNNNNNNNNNNNNNNNNNNNNNNNNNNNNNNNNNNNNNNNNNNNNNNNNNNNNNNNNNNNNNNNNNNNNNNNNNNNNNNNNNNNNNNNNNNNNNNNNNNNNNNNNNNNNNNNNNNNNNNNNNNNNNNNNNNNNNNNNNNNNNNNNNNNNNNNNNNNACUAGAUGUCUCUGUAGUGAAGUAAUAUGAGCAUAACUUAAUUGAUCAGUGUAAAACUUUGAAUUGGUUAAGUAUACUACACUAAAGUAAGUUGUAAAGCCUAAUUGCAAUUAUAUCUUUGAGGGCAAUGCUUAUGAGUUGCGUGACAAUCUUGUCUGUUCUGGAUCUUGCAUCUGAUUCUAAUUAAACAGUACAUGUUAGAUGUUUUUAAUGAGGUCCACGUUAGAUUUGAUUGUUAAUUUAUAGUGCGGGUGAAAGCGGAUUCUAUCCUUUUCGUCUGCCAUUUUUCCUUUCAUAAAAUGUGUCCAUGGAGUAAUUCUCCACAAAAACAAACUUAACUGGACAAAAUAUCCACGGCAAGUCGCAUAUCUUGUGCAACUGUUCACUGUUGAAAGCUUAUUGUGCCACUACCCAUCAUUGCAAGGAAAAAAUACAGAAGAUUUAUGUUCUACCAAAUACAUUCUUUUGUUCAGAUUUAGCCAGGUAUGAUCCUGGUUGCGUCAGCCAUUAGAGUACAUUGCGAUCGACUAGACAGUUUCAGUGCUCAUCUUGCCUACUUUUGCAGCACUAGAUUUGCGAUCAGGUAGAUAAACACAACAACAAAGGAGACGACAGAUGCCAGCGGCCCAUAUUUCCCAAGAAUUCUCUGUGGGUUAAUUCCAUAAUACGGAUUGAAUUCUCUACUGGCACGGAAUCCAGCAACAAGGGCCACACCAUGCUGACACUAGCAGCUAUGUGUUGCUCCCGUGGGCAAGACCUGCCCAAGGAGGAUAGGUAAGAGAAAUGGCUGAAGACACACCAACACCUGGCAACAUGUAGGUUCAUAUUUCACCCCCACCCUUGGAUAAAACCGUGAAUCAUUUGAAACAUAUUAAAACUUGAGUGCAUUUUUUAUUUUGGAGAAAUAUAUAUGCUCACAAGAGCUUAGGAGUCACACGUCGGUUCUAGGUAAUUAAACAAACAAGAACAUUCACUUGUUGAGAAAUUUUACCACCUCUUCUUGCUUCUUUUAUGACACUAGAACUUGACGGGCUUUGGGUCACCUCCUUUUCGGUUUAUAAGGCUUGCGCGUAUCUCUAGGUUGACAAAUAGACCAACUUAAUACAAGUUGUAUAUCACAAAAAAUAUAUAAUUAGGAACUUCAAAUCGUAUACUUUCUAAUGGUAUAAUUUUUAGACUAUACAACUCAUGUUAUGUUGGUCAAGUUAUAGAUCCAGGGAUAUGUACAAGCCUUAUAAACCGGAAAGGAGGUAUGUUAGUAGAUAAACAUGCCAAUUAAGGACUUCUUGACAAGUCUAUGCAGAUUAAAGGUAUGUUAGUAGAUGGUGUAAUAAAUACAUGCUUUUAGCUAUCUAAGGAUACAAAUAUGCCACUAUUUACUUUGUAAAUGCUCGAAAUCAUUCUCAGAAAUUUUAGUAACAACAGUUGUCAUGAACAACUUGGACUAAAUGCAUCAAAUGUUACAAAUAAUACAUAAAAACAUUCAAAUGUACUUAGAGUGAAUCAAUUAAGACGUGUAAAGCUAGUACUAAUCCAAUAUUUCUUAAUGACUUGCAUAUACUUACAACACUUGACGUAAAGAGUGAAUCAAUUAAGACGUGCAAAGCCAGUACUAAUCCAAUUUUAUUAAUAGCUUCCACAAAAUUACAACACGUGGCGUAAAAAGGGAAUAUGAUGAGUCAUGUAUUGAUAACGUGUACAACAUUACUACCCUUGACAUAAAAAGAGAAGUUGAUGAGUCAUGUCUUAAUAACGUGUACAACAUUACUAUCAGCUUGUUCAUCUUACCAUCAUACUAUACAACACUAUAAGUUAGUUUAAAAAAGAAUAAGAGUCCAGAACAAACAUCACAAUACUAGCCUGAUCUAUAUUAACAACAUGCACAAGGACACAAAUUUAGUUCCCCGCAAGCUAUGAAGAUUUGGUUUAUGUCUAACAACUUGUACAAUAUGACAAACUUAGAUCCAAAAGGAAUGCAAACCAGAUAAUUGUAAUGCAAUCCAGAUAAUUAUUUGACAUGCAAAGUGAAUAAGAUGAGUCACUACCAAUUAUCAAGUUUUCCUCACUCUUAGAUGAUAUGAACCAUAAAAAGGCAACUUUGAUGAUCACUCCAUAAUUACGUUUGUAUGUAGUGCCACCAAACACAACACACAAAAUAAUUAGUUCGAUAAGCAUCGAAUCACUUUAAAAAGGAAAGCAAAAAUGGAAAGAAACCUAACCAUGGGAGCUAUAAAAAGGCCUGCAAUAUGUAGACUCCAUACCAUCAUCCAUCCUUCACACAACUAGAGCACAAGUAUCAAAUCCAAGUACGUAGUGGUUAACGCAAAUUAACCAUGAAGACCUUACUCAUCCUAACAAUCCUUGUGAUGGCAGUAACCAUCGGCACCGCCAAUAUGCAGGUCGACCCUAGCGGCCAAGUACAAUGGCCACAACAACAACCAGUCCUGCUGCCUCAGCAACCAUUCUCCCAGCAACCACAACAAACAUUUCCCCAACCCCAACAAACAUUCCCCCAUCAACCACAACAACAAUUUCCCCAGCCUCAACAACCACAACAACAAUUUCUCCAGCCACAACAACCAUUCCCCCAACAACCACAACAACCAUAUCCCCAGCAACCACAACAACCAUUCCCCCAGACUCAACAACCCCAACAACUAUUUCCCCAGUCCCAGCAACCACAACAACCAUAUCCCCAGCAACCACAACAACCAUUCCCCCAGACUCAACAACCCCAACAACAAUUUCCCCAAUCCCAGCAACCACAAUAACCAUUUCCCCAACCCCAACAACCGCAACAAUCAUUCCCCCAGCAACAACCAUCGUUCAUUCAGCCAUCUCUACAACAACAGCUGAACCCAUGCAAGAAUUUACUCUUGCAGCAAUGCAGACCUGUGUCAUUGGUCUCAUCCCUCUGGUCAAUGAUCUGGCCACAAAGCGCUUGCCAAGUGAUGAGGCAACAAUGCUGCCAACAACUAGCACAGAUUCCUCAGCAGCUCCAGUGUGCAGCCAUCCAUAGCGUCGUGCAUUCCAUCAGCAUGUAGCAAGAACAACAACAACAACAACAACAACAACAACAACAACAACAACAACAACAACAACAACAACAACAACAACAACAACAACAACAACAACAACAACAAGGCAUGCGUAUCCUGCUGCCACUAUAUCAGCAACAACAGGUGGGUCAAGGUACUCUCGUCCAGGGCCAGGGCAUCAUCCAACCCCAACAACCAGCUCAAUUGGAGGCGAUCAGGUCAUUGGUGUUGCAAACUCUUCCAACCAUGUGCAACGUGUAUGUCCCACCUGAGUGCUCUAUCAUCAAGGCACCAUUUGCCAGCAUAGUCACCGGAAUUGGUGGCCAAUGAAAAACGCAAGAGCCAUACUAAUAGGUAGAUGGAUCAUCGUUGCUUAGCUGAUUUACCAAUCGAUGUAACGAUGCCAAAUAAACUGGUGUGCACCAUCAUGUGUCAUCCUGACCAGUGCUAGUUCAAGAUUGGGAAUAAAAGAGAAGAACGUUCAUGUUUGCCAACAUUGCUUGUCAUUGUUCCAUUCACUGUGUAUUUAUAUUUUCAUCCUGAACUGCAAUUCUAGUCUUACACAUCAAUAGCUAGUUGCUCAUGUCGGCAGGUUCCUAUGUAAUCUAAUGAUUAAUGGUCGACCUAUUAAUCUAGUUUAUCGGCCGAUUGAUCUAUUAAUUGGUGCUCCCAAGCCGACCGAGCAGCCAUCAGUUACCGAUUUCCUGAACAUUGCACACAAUAAUAAUUCAACGUAUUUCAAUGUCUAGAAGUAAAAGGGCCAUAUAAGCAGUAAAACAAGCGCCUGAUUAGAAACCAUCCAUCACUUUAAAUUAAUCUAGAUAUUUUUGUGUUGGUGCAAUUUUGAGUUGAUGGCACCGACACAUUCUUGAAAGAAAUUCUACAGGGAACUCCAAAGAGGUGAAAAUCAAACUAAAGUUGCCACAUGGUAAAAGAUAAAUCAUGCGGCAAGCAAGAGGAAAUAUUGAGUCACAAUAGCUAGCGCCAAACAUGUAAUUAAACUAUUCUUAUGGUUUCUUGCAAAGAGGGAAGUAAUUUACAGAUGACAAACAAAACGUAAUUAGCAUUAGUUCUAAUUGAUUGUAGAAAUUUCUUUUAUCGGUAGAAUAACUCAGUUGUUAUUUAUUUAAACAUGCACUGUGAUAUUGACUUAUCUCAAUCUAGGAACACAAAGCAAAUACUACAUUUGCUGCUAUGGACUCCAAACAGAUGAGAAAUCAUUAUGUGUAGAAGUUCCUUAGAAGGAUAUUUUGGCCUAAACAAAUUUAACAUUGUACUCGUGUCUUACAUAGUUAAAGCUGAAAAAUCAACAUAACCAGUGGACACUUUGUAAGACAAGUGUGGGAAACAAAUAGUAGGAUAUAAAUUUGAGUAGAAUGUUUGCUCAAAUGUUGAAAAAAUAACCCAGCAAACUAAAACUCAGCAAAACAGUCUAUUCUACCUUAUACGGACUGUCACAAUGAUAAUGCUAUGUUUUUUUGGAAUACAAAUUCAAAAAAAAUCAGCCACAGAUCCCUGAGCCCAUCCAACAGGAGAGCUUCAAUUGAAAGAAGUAUUAGUUCGAUUAGACCAUGUAGUACCUAAAGGAGGAUGGUGGCCCCAUGGAACAACUCCAGCCUUUCCAUUGUGUCCGGGCGCAAUGCGAUAAUGGAGUUAUGGUCAUUGGUGGCUUCGCUGGCCAUAGACGGCUUAUUGACUUCUUCCACUUGAGGAUCACCGUGAACCAGUCCUUCUUCCCCAUCCUACAUAAGCAUGCCAACCACAAAUAAAUGCUCAAAAAGACCAUCUUAAAUGUCAUUGAACCGGAUUAUGGGAGGCAGAAUCUUAUGACUCGGUGGAUGCAGAUAUCGAGGCCUCAUUUGUAUGUUGUGCCUCCCACCAGAGGUGUCUUCUAAUUAGAGUGGUGCGAGAAGACAAUAUAAGCCACCGUGCAAGCGAAACAAUUAGGAGGCACUGCUUGUAAAGCGGAGAAUUUGGCACUGUCUGGUGGCAUUGCGGUAGCCGCAGGGUGGAAGAGAGAGAGGGAGGGAGGGAGGGAGGAUGAAUCGGAAAACCAGGAGCAGGGGUGAUCAACGAUGAAAACCAAGAUGAAAAAACAAUGUGCAAGAGAGGAAGAGGAAUAGGCUAGCUAUUUCUGUAGUGAAGUAAUAUGAGCAUAACUUAACCCAUAGGUGUGGAACUUGGAUUCGGUUGAAGUAUAUACUAUACUAAAGUAAGCUGACUAAUUGCAAUUUAAAUCUUUGGUGGCAAUGCUUAUGAGUUGUGAGGCCAUCUUGACUAUUCUGGAUCUUGCAUAUGAUUCUAAUUAAACAGUAUAUGUCAGAUGUUUUUAAAGAGGCACACAUUAUAUUUGAUUGUUGAUUUACACAUUCUAAUUAAACAUUAUAUGUCAGAUGUUUCUAAUGAGGCCCACGUUAGAUUUGUAUGUUGAUUUACAAAGGGAUUGAUAAGUUGAUUCUAUCCUUUUUCCUCUGCCAUUCUUCCUUUCAUAAAAUGUGUCCAUCGAGUAAUUAUCCACAAUAACAAACAUGACUAGACAAAAUAUCCACGACAAGUUGCAUAUCUUGUGCAACUGUUCACUGGUGAAAGGCUAUUGUGCCACUAUCCAUCAUUGCAAGGAAAAAACACAAAAGAUUUAUGUUCUAUCAAAUAUAUUAUUUUGUUUGGAUUUAGCCAGGUAAGAUCCUGGUUGCGUCGGCCAUUAGAGUACCUUGCGAUCGACUAGACAGUUUCAGCAUAUCUUCUUGCCUCCUUUUGCAUCACUAGAUUUCGAUGGGCUUGCGAACAGGAAGAUAAACACGGCAACAAAGGAGACGAGAGAUGCCAGUGAUCCAUAUUUCCAAAUAAUUCUCUGCAAGUGAAUUCCAAAGAAUGCAUUGAAUUUUGUGCUGGCGUAGAAUCCAGCAGCAAGGGAAACACCAUGCUGACGCUAGGAGCUACGUGCUGCUACCGCGAGCUCCCAUGGCAAGACCUGCCCAGGGAGGACCGGCAAGAGAAACGGCUGAAGACACACCAAGACCCGGCAACAUGUAGGUUCAUAUUUCACCCCCACCCUCAGAUAAAAAUGUGAAUCAUUUCAAACAUAUUAAAACUUGAGUGGAUUUUUUUAUUUCGGAAAAAUAUGCCCACAAGAGCUCAGGAGUCAACGUCAGUUCUAGGUAAUUAAACAAACAAGAAGAUUGACUUGUUGAGCAAUUUUACUACAUUUUCUUGCUUCCUUUUACGACACUAGAACUUGAUGGACUUCCGGUCAGCUAGAUAAACAUGCCAAUAAAGGACUUCUUGACAAGUCUGUGCAGAUUAAAGGUAUGUUAGUAGGUGGUGUAAUAACACAUGAUUUUAGCUAUCUAAGGAUACAAAUAUGCCACUAUUUAUUUUGUAAAUGCUGGAAAUCAUUGUCGGAAAUCUUAGUAACAACAGUUGUCAUGAACAACUUCGACUAAAUGCAUCAAAUGUUAGGAAUAAUACAUACUAACUUAGUUCAAUAAAUUAACCUAUUGAAGCAAGAAAAGAAACCUUGAAAUGUACUUAGAGUGAAUCAAUUAAGACAUGCAAAGCCAGUACUAAUCCAGUUUUAUUAAUAACUUCCACAAAAUUACAACACGUGACGUAAAAAGGGAAUAUGAUAGGUCAUGUAUUGAUAACGUGUACAACAUUACUACCCUUGACAUAAAAAGAGAAGUUGAUGAGUCAUGUCUCAAUAACGUGUACAACAUUACUAUCAGCUUGUUCAUCUUACCAUCAUACUAUACAACACUACGAGUUAGUUUAAAAAGGAAUAAGAGUUCAGAAUGAACAUGACAGUACUAGCCUAAUCUAUCUUAACAACAUGCACAAGGACACAAAGUUUGUCUGCCACAAGAUAUGAAGAUUUGGUUUAUGUCUAACAACUUGUAUAACAUGACAAACUUAGAUCCAAAGGGAACACAAUCCAUAUAAUUGUUUGACAUGUAAAGUGAAUAAGAUGAGUCAGUGCCAAUUAUCAAGUUUUCCUCACUCUUAGAUAAUAUGAGUAGCAAAAAGGCAACUUUGAUGAUCACUCCAAAAUUACGAUUGUAUGCCGUGCCACCAAACACAACACACCAAAAAAUUAGUUCGAUAAGCAUUGAAUCACUUUAAAAAAGGAAAGCAGUGAUGAAAAGAAACCUAGCCAUGGUGGCUAUAAAAAGGCCUGCAAUAUGUGAGCUCCAUACCAUCAUCCAUCCUUCACACAACUAGAGCACAAGCAUCAAAUCCAAGUAGGUAGUAGUUAACGCAAAUCCACCAUGAAGACCUUACUCAUCCUGACAAUCCUUGCGAUGGCAAUAACCAUCGCCACCGCCAAUAUGCAGGCCGACCCUAGCGGCCAAGUACAAUGGCCGCAACAACAACCAUUCCUGCAGCCUCACCAACCAUUCUCCCAGCAACCACAACAAAUAUUUCCCCAACCCCAACAAACAUUCCCCCAUCAACCACAACAACAAUUUCCCCAGCCUCAGCAACCACAACAACAAUUUCUCCAGCCCCGACAACCAUUCCCCCAACAACCACAACAACCAUAUCCCCAGCAACCACAACAACCGUUCCCCCAGACUCAACAACCCCAACAACCAUUUCCCCAGUCCAAGCAACCACAACAACCUUUUCCCCAGCCCCAACAACCGCAACAAUCAUUCCCCCAACAACAACCAUCGUUGAUUCAACAAUCUCUACAACAACAGUUGAACCCAUGCAAGAAUUUCCUCUUGCAGCAAUGCAAACCUGUGUCCUUGGUGUCAUCCCUCUGGUCAAUCAUCUUGCCACCAAGCGAUUGCCAGGUGAUGCGGCAACAAUGUUGUCAACAACUAGCACAAAUUC
rnacentral:lncRNA from 1 species